AGACAAAAAUCCAUGUUCUUUAAUAACGGAAUGUAAGGAAGAUUUAUGGACUACUCUGAGCUUCCUUUUGAGCAGCCAGUUCAACAAUGACUCAUUCAUGAAGAAUCUUCUUUCACAGGCUGGAGUGUGCUAUGCUGUGCAUCUAUGUAGAGGUAAAUCCAAAACAGAAUUUCACAUUUUCAUUGUCAUAGCAAAUGAACCCAAGAAAAAUGUAUGCUCAUUGUAAAAUAAAAUGCCCCACCUUUCAUGGAGAAAGAGAGACAGCAUAGCAUAGUGGUUAGAGUGUUGGGCUAUGACCUGAGAGACCAGGGUUCAAAUCCUCACUUGGCCAGGAAGCUCAAUGCAUGACCUUGCACCAGUCACAUACUCUCAGCCCAACCUACCUCACAGGGUUGUUGAAAGGAUAAAAUGGGGAGAAUGAUGUAAGCCUCCUUGAGCUCCAUGGAAGAAAGGUGAGAUACAAAUAUGAUGAUGAAGAAGCAGAAGAAGAUAGUUCUGUUUACAGUUUAUGGGGGACAUUCUGACAAGUUUUUUGGGGUGGGAAGAAUUAAAAAGGGAGAGCUGUUGUUGCUGAUGCUGCUGUUGCUGUUGUUGUUAAAAUGGAGUUUGGCUGCCACCACAAGUUUUGCUUGGCCACCAUUUUCCCCCAGACAAUACCUCUGGAACAGCACAUAGCAUAAUUCAAAGUGAGGGAAUCUUUGAUCCACUGAUAGGAGGAUUGUCACAGCAACCAAGUACUUUUAAGUAAGCAGACAAGGGUCUCCUUACCCGUUGCAUUUUUAGCUGUACAUAAUAGGUGUGUGCUUCAGAAUUUGAUGUGCAGAGAAGGUCUUAAUAUUACUAAUUAAAAUCUAGUACAUCAGUGCACAGCAAAAAGUCUUUAAUCACACACUAACUGGGCUGGGGAAGCAGAGAGAGUGUAGGCAACGUCUAUUAAAAUAUAAACAUCGUGCUCAUGAAGCAACUGAUUGCGAGAGCAAUGGCUAGAAAGAAAUGCAAAACACUUUUAUUGUUUUCAAAACAAUAGAAAAUGGGGUGUUUUUCAGAUUUUUCCACCAUUCAAAAUUGCAACUGGGUGACUAUGAUGUGUGAAGUGUUAUGUACAUCCAGUGCUUUUAUCUAAAAAAAAAUGUUUAGGUGUACUCUCAUUUCCCUACUGCCCCUCAAUGAGGCCAAACUUAGAUUCACAAAAUGUUUAGGGGUAUGCGUACCCCUGUGUCCCCCCCCCCCCGAAAAAAGCACAGUGUACAUCUUCAGUGUUUGGGCAUUGAUCCCACUGAGGGACCAGAGCUUAUUUUCUGGUUCUGUACUGAGACCAUAACAACUUAAGCAGGAAAAGGUGCAGUACUUGCUUUCUGUAUCUGGAGUGAGGGUAUCUGUAUGCUUGGUUCAGCAACAUCAGAGCAUUUUCCAGCCAUUAACUGAUGGUGCCAUCUCUGCAUACAUAAUAUGGUCCUCAUCAGUGACCAACAUCCUAAUUCAUGAAUGAUGACAGAAUUUUCAAGGGCUCUGUGAGUGUGUCUGUGGGUGUUUUUACAACUAUUGUUUGCUGCUGAUUCAACUUGUAGAAGUACACAAAUGUGUUACUGCAUUAGCCCUGUUGCAGAGGUCAACCAGCAUGAGAGUGAGUGCCACAAAAUCGAUCAAAAAUACUUCUGAUCAACUUAACAGGUGUCUCCAUUUAAAUCAGGCAACUAUUUUUUACUUCUGAUGUAAGAACUGAUAAAAGCUAUAGGUGGCAGAUUAUUGGAGGGGAAAAACUUUUCUCUCAGCCAGGAGGGAACCUCUUUUUUUAAGAUAAUGCCUGCUGCAGCACAGGCAGGCAUCAGCUAAAAAGGCCAAAUAACACUUUUUUUCUUCAAAACUAUUGUUUUAUUCACAUACAGGUGUAUGCAGAUUUAAUCAGUUAAUGAAAUCCAUUUACUGUAAUUUGCUGGAUUGGUUGACAACCCUAAUGAUAACAAAAUCAAACCCUGAUAAUGCAUCAUUAGGGAUUUGUGUACAUAUCCCAAUUAUUGUUCCACAAAUACCUGCCAAUCAAUUUCAAUAAGAAUGUAGAUUUUAAAAUAGCACCUCGAUCCCUGAUGUUUGGGACAAGACUUUUGAGCCCAAGUGCAAAUCUGCUCUAAUUUAAUUCCUAUCAAGCUAGCAAAAGUAUACAAUAACAAAAAUGUCAAAUCUGAUUAUCAGAUUUCUUUCUCCUUCCAUUGGAGCUCUAGCAUGGAUCAAUUCUAAAACAGUUAAAAAGGUUUCCAUGAAAGCUUAAUAUUUUCUUCUGUAAAAUCAAUGGCAGGUCAUAACCUAAGCAUACUAUUUUGGCUGAGAUCUGCAACCCAUUCAAAUUGCAUUUCUUGUGUCAAAUGAAAUGGGGCCCUUUUGAAGUUAGUUUUUUGUAAGUACAGUUUGUACUUACAGCAAGAAUUACAAAAACAAACUCCUAUUAUGACAGCAAUGUGUACUCUAGUAUACAAUAAAAUUAAUCCAUUUAUAUGCUACACUGAUUGUAUUAUUGACACCAAAUUAUUCAUGGUGGUUAAAAAAGGAUGAGGUGUCGUGAGGAGCUCAAGACACGGUGAGUGGGCAUUAAAAUUGGAAAUGCAUUUCAAUGUAAACAUGUAAAAUGAUUUACAUGUGGGCAAAAAACCCCCCCAACUUAACAUAAUACAUGAAUGGGGUUUGCACUAAUUAGGAAAAAAAGUAUUGGGAUAUUGGUGGAUAGCUUCAUUGAAAUGUUGACUGCCAUCUAAGGAGAUCUGCCUAAUGGUAGGGCUGGAACUGCUGAUAAAGAGGAUUGACCUAGCAUGGUAAUCAGUAUACAAUGCUCACCAAUUUGAGACAUGAGUAGGUGUGCUAAUUCGUCAGUAUCCUCCAUUGUUUUAGAUAAUUAGUAAUGAUCUACCAUAAGGGGACGGGAUGCAGGUGGCGCUGUGGGUUAAACCACAGAGUCUAGGGCUUGCCAAUCAGAAGGUCUGCGGUUCGAAUCCCCAUGACGGGGUGAGCUCCCGUUGCUUGGUCUCUGCUUCUGCCAACCUAGCAGUUUGAAAGCACAUCAAAAGUGCAAGUAGAUAAAUAGGUACUGCUCCGGUGGGAAGGUAAAUGGUGUUUCCGUGUGCUGCUCUGGUUUGCCAAAAGCAGCUUAGUCAUGCUGGCCACAUGACCCGGAAGCCAUAUGCUGGCUCCCUCGGCCAAUAAAGCGAGAUGAGCCACAUCCUCAUUCCCUUCCUCCCCCACAACCUCAGAGUCGUCCGUGACUGGACCUAAUUGACAGGGGUCCUUUUACCUUUACCUUUACCAGUGUGGUGUAGUGGUUAAGAGCAGUAGAUUCAUAAUCUGGGGAACCGGGUUUGGGUCUCCACUCCUCCACAUGCAGCUGCUGGGUGACCUUGGGCUAGUCACACUUCUCUGAAGUCUCUCAGCUUCACUCACCUCACAAAGUGUUUGUUGUGGGGGAGGAAGGGAAGGAGAAUGUUAGCCGCUUUGAGACUCAUUAGGGUAGUGAUAAAGCGGGAUUUCAAAUCCAAACUCUUCUUCUCUUCUUCUACCAUAAGGGGAAGAUCAGUGGCCAACUUCUGUACUUUCAGAUGUCACCUGGUUAUGCAGACAAUGUAUUUUGCCACACAAACUGACCUGCACAUUAAUAAUCAGGCUUCGUAUAAGAAUAAAUUAGGUGCCAUAUCCAGCAGUAAAGAAGUGAGAGGUUGUACCACUGAGAUGAACUGCAUAUGGAUUUUUCAUGUCCAUUCACGCUUUUUGUGGAGCGCCUUGCAAUCCCUUUUUGUUUUAACUACCCUGAAUAAUUGGGUGUCACCAGCAAACUUGGGCACUUCACUGCCUCACCCCUAACUCCGGGUCAUUUAUGAACAAGUUAAAACCUUAAUUAUCAAGCUGUAACCCAACUGAAUUGCCCCAUAACUCUCACUAAUAGGAUGGAAAUAUUUGGACUAUCAUUUGUUGGGUGUGGAUUACUGCCAAAGCUAUCAUCCAGUAGGUAUUUCUUGCCAGUGCGAGUCAUCUGCUCUGUGCUAAAUUAAACAUGUAUUACUGCUUGAAUUGAUUCAAUGUGAAUUGGCAGGGCUAGCUCUGCACUCUGAGACAGAAAAGACAUUAAAUAUUGGUCCUGGGAUUUAAUGUACAAUGCACAGAGGAGGCAUGACAUUUAGCAAGUGAUAGAUACUCCUCCCCAUUUUUGCUUAUGUUGCACUGGCAGCAGGACAGAUUUAUAUUAACUAAAGCCGACUAACUACUGAAGAGAAAGUAUCUCAGGAAUAUCCAUAUCAUAAAUGAAGUUGUUUCAGCCAUUCCUGACCCAAUGCUAAUCACACAUACUCAGCAACUAAAACCAUUACUCCACACUGGAGGGUGGAUUUUCAUUUUGCAUGCAAAACUCCCUGUAAGAAAUGCAUUUGCCAUGGAAUACUCACUUGAGUAUUGGAGAAUCUCUAGAAUCUCCAAUGGCUCUUGAAUAAAAAAAACAAGUAGAUAAAUAGCUAAUAGGAAAACAGGACAUCUCUUAGGGAAAGGGAUAACUUCACUCCUAUAGCUUCACUCCUAUUGCAUCCAAUGUCAGGAGGGAGGUGGGUGGGUUAGAUUUGUCACCCAACCAUUUGUCUCAAAUGUUACUCUCAAACCCACUGCUUACUAUCUCUGUCACAUAACUCCCAACUGCAAUUCUAAAAUCCUAACCUAAAACACUGGCAUUGUCUUUUUAAACUAACUCUCAGUUGAGGGAGGGAAUGAGUAAGCCCACUCAUUUGCAAAUGAAAGUUGCCCUUGAUCAUAGCUGUCAACUUACAGAUUUGAAAAUAAGGGGCCAGUAGCCUUGAAAAUAAGGGACCAGCAGCCAAAAUAAGGGACCUGCAGCCUCACCUGUUCCAGGCACUCCAGUCUUCCUGUCCUCCUGCAGUCUGGUCAAACUCAUGCUGGUAGCUUCGAGAACACUGUCCAGCCAACUUUGUAACCAGAGGUUCAACUGAAUAGAAUCUGAAUCACAUGCACCACAAGGCCUAUGCAGCCUCAACUUAAGAUGGCUCCCCGGCCUGGCUUUGCACUGCAAAGUUUGCAGCAGCACAUGCAACAAAAUGGCGUCCAGCAUUCAAAAAAACCCCUCAGCUUGCAUUAACUAGCCACACACAAGGCAUGCAAGCUCCACCCCCCAGUCGUUCUUAGACUUCUUAUUGGGUGAGCAACACAGCCAAGCAACACAGUUGGAGCCUCCCUCCUCCCUGGCCGGCAGGGAGGUAGGGAGAGGAGCUGCUUCCUUUGAAAUUUAAGGGACAUCAUUUAAGGGACAUUUAAGGGACAUUCAUCAAUAAGGGACAGCAGCGGGGCAUGGCACGGGAAUAAGGGACUGUCCCUUCAAAUAAAGGACACUUGACAGCUAUGCCCUUGAUCCUAAACAUUCAUUACUCCCAGACUAUCAGCUCAUGUAAGAGGCUAGUCCUGGCUUAAUUAGCUUUUGAUGCAUGUUGAUUCCAGAGGGCUCAAGGUAUCUAGUACACAGUUCAAAUACACACAUGAGUCUAGCAACCAGUUUUAACACUCGGUCUAAGCCUUAAUUUAAUUCUAACACUAGCUGGAUCGGGAAUUUGGGGUGUCUUGCACCCACAAACAGUAUUUUAAUGCUUGUGUAAUUGGAUUUUAUACUUGUAAACUGCUUAGAAGGCUAUUUAAUAAUGCUGCUGCUGCUGCUGCUGCUGCUGCUGCUGUUGGUGGUGGUAGAAGCUCUGUUGGCAUAUUCUUCACCAGAAACUGCAAAGCUAAAUACUAACUUGGAUGGCAAAUAGUUUAAAUAAGGACUUGGGUUUGCUUUGCAGUAAUAUUUCCAAUGUUCUUGUUCUUUAGCACAGAAAUGUUAAACUGCAUAACUUUAAACCCCCCAGAUCACUCCCUGCUCGCUGUGGCAUCAGGGGAAGUUGCGCUCCCACCAACAGAUGCCACUAUCCGUGUAUUGGAUGACGUGAUUUUUGAGUCAAAAAACCUCGUCCAAUACACGGAAAAAUACGGUAUUUCCAGUCACCUCAAAGCAAAACUCAUUCAGAGGGAAGGGGUUGAAUCAAUCUCUUACUUCUCUGGUGGUGAGGAAUAAUAUUUCUCCUUUGCCUCCCUUUAUAUAGAGACUUGCUGUUUGUGGUGUUUUUAUAAAAACCCUAACAAUUCUCUGUAUUGCUGUAACACAAGUGCAGGUCCCUGGAUUCUUAAAAACUAAAAUUUUUAAGCUUUCUGCUACACUGCAGGUAGCUACCCUAGAAGGAAGUCAAUUUAUUCUUCUCACUGGUCUCCUAAAACUUUUGCCCUUUCUCUAAGCAUUCUCAGAAGGCAGAAACCGUUUUUCAAAAAGAGUCACACAAACAAACAGAAGGGCCAUGGCCAUGGAUUAAAUAUUGCAUCUAUAUUAGAAAACUGCUCUACUGUAAUUAAAUCAGGAAAAUUAAACGGAAGGUUAGAUCAAAAUCAUUAUAAUCUAUGUUAGCCUAAUCAUGUCAAAAAUAAAAAUAAAAAGAUAUCUGUUUAUCUGUUACCUCAGUCAAAAUUCCUAUUUUGGAAGCCAGCAAAGUAAAGAGCAGGGAUAGGGAAACUCUGGACUACCAGAUGUUGUUGGACUACAACUCCUAUCAUCCCUGACUAUUGGCCUAUCUUGGGUUGAUGGGAUUUGUAGUCCAACAAUCAGGGAUUGCAUAGGAUCAGGGAGACUCCGGUUCAAAUUCCUGCCCAGCCUCUCUCAGCCCAACCUAUCUCACAGUGUUGUGAGGAUAAAGUGUGGAGAGGAGAACCAUGAGCUCUGUGUUGCUCUAAGCUCCUCAAAGGAUGGGUAGGAUAAAAAUAGAAUAGAACAAAACAUUUUGUCAUAGGAAUAUAGUAGUUUGACUCACAAAUUACAUUUUUAUAUGUAAGCCUAUAUUUUAAAUUAACUGCUACACAUGUGAAGUGUGAAUGUGACAAAUAUGUGGUACACUUAUCAAGGAGCUAUCAUUGGCCAACAGCAUAAAAAUCUUACCUAUUAGCGCUGCACAAAUGACUGAGUUGAAGAUGGGUGAAUCUGUCAACAUUGUUUUUUCUCUGUUUCUCCUUUUUCCAAUCAGAUUUGGCUCACCCCAUUGCUAUAUAUGUCUGCAUUUUCAUUAAUAUCCAUUAAAAGUCUGCAUGAAAAUUCAUGUUUUUGGGGUCAAUUUCUCUCAGUAUUUGCAUUAUGUAUGAAAUUUUGCCUAGAAUAUAUGAAUUUCUCAAGCCAUUUCCCUCUAAUGGAACACAUUUUUUGUAUGUACCUUUCUCUGAUAUAGAUCUCUUUGUAUACACUUUUGCAAUACAGUGGUACCUCAGGUUACAUACGCUUUUUACGCUUUUUAUUUUUACACAUGUUCCUUGGUUGAAGGACUGCAUUGCAAAGUUUGGAGAAAUGAGAAUUUCAAAGGAGAGCUGUGUUUAGAUUUGUGUAUUGGUUUGGGACCUGUACAUUUGGUAGGUUCACAUUAAAAUGCAGCUGCUGAGUAUUAAGACAUUGUCCACAAUCUGAUACUAAACCAGAGAUCGAAAAAAGGAAACCCCUUUGAAAUAUUCCUAAACAACUGGAAAUCACAGAAUAAGUGUGCUGGGAGUACAGAAAGCAUAGCUAAAUUAUUUUGAGUAAAUUACAGGCUGUGAGGUAUUUGCUUUGCUUUCCUCUGAAUGCUGGUGCUGAAGGGUUGAAUUCAAAUGAAAACUGUAAAUACAGCAACCUGAACAGUAACAGGAUAGCUGCUUUCUUUGCCAGAAAUUUGUAGGAGGAAGUGUUUGCAGGGUUACCUGAUGUGUUUGUGCCAUCACAGGCUUUGUGUCACCCUGUGUACAAAAUGAGAGGGUGUCCCAGAAUCCGCUCUACUGUUUUAGAGGAUUCUGGGGGCACUUUAAGAGCUUGCAAGAAGCAGCAAAAGGGCUUACGAUGGUGCAUUUGGUACCCAUAGAGAAAUCUCCUAAUGGGCCACUCUUGGUGACAUGAUUGGGUCCAUGAAUAUAGCCCAUAGAAUGUGGACUGCCAUGAAACACAACUUAAAAUGGGAGACUCUGUCAACCAUUUGUACACCAGUUUCUAAACUUCCUGUGCUACAAGAGCCCUGUGUGACCUUUGGGCAUGGUCACAAAAAACUAAUUUGUAAAAUAACAACUACCACAGCAGCAGCAACAACAAGAUGUGGAUGUUGAGUAGUGUCCCAAAUAAGAGAAUCUCUCUACAUUUUGUACUGUCGCUGGCGAACUGCUAAAUCUGCCAGCCCUACUUGGUAACUGGUUAUAUAGUGCAUUUUGGUAUUCUUAAAUCAUGUGCCUGAACAAAAGAGAAGAGUCCUCCCUUGAAUUAGAAAAUGCUAUUUAUAGAGGAUUUCUGGAAGUUUUACUGCAUGGCUCAUUACUCAGGUGUCUUUGUAACAGGUCAGCAAAAACGUACAUCUUGCACACACAAAAUGCAGUCCUGCAGAAACUAACAAGAUAGUGAGAUACCAUAUUAUAGCCAUUUGGGGGCCAUAAGAGGGAGGGAAGAGGAUAGUUUGAGAGAAAGCUUUGACUGUCUUUGGAAAUGAUGAUACUUCAUAAGCCAAUAAUACAUUUCCAGACCAUCAUCACACUUACGGUUUUGUGUGGAUGGGGGAUUGCACAAAACAUGUUUAGGAGUUUGAUUCCUAGUCUGAAAUGCAUCUUCCAAGUCCAAGAAGACCGGCAUUAUUAAAAAGCAGAUUCUAGGCAACUAUUGCACACAAGGUUUCUGUCAGAAAAUGGAAUUCUUACUCAAAUGAGAACUAAACGCAACCUAGCUCAGGCAAAAAUGUGAACAGAUUUUUUGCGGGGAGGAGGAUAAGAUGCCCUUCACUAAAAACAUUAGGACUAACAAAUAAAUACAACAAAUAAAUAAAUACAACAAAUACAACAAAUGAAUACAACAAAUAAAUACACACAUGUUGCUUUUAAAGUAUUAAAAUACAUUUAAAAAUCAGAUAAGGGGGAUAAGGAAAUUGCCGGAAAGCUUUGCAAAAAAUAAAUCAUUGCAUCUGUACUCGCAGCAGAAGAUGUAGGGAAGCUACAAGGACUCCCACAACUGAAGCCAUUUUUGUUCUGACAAGCUUUUACAGUGUGUGGAAAGUAGACAGAGAAGUCCCCCCACCCAAUCUCAUAACACUAGGAUUUGGAGUCAUCUGAUGAAACUGAAUGGAAGAAGAUUCAGGACAGACACACAGUGCAUAUUUGAACUAGUAAUUUGCUGCCAUAAAGGCCCUGCUGGAUCAGAUCAAAGACUCAUUUAGUACAGCAUCCUGCCCUCACAGUGGCAAGCUUGAUGGUUAUGGAAAGUCUGCAUUGCAGACUGAGUGAAAUAGCGCUCUCCCCACUUGUGAUGUGGUGAAGACUGCAAAUUUAGAUGGCCUUGGGAUGAUCCAGAAGGCAUCCUCUUAUGUUCUUGGGAAACUUUACUAUAUAGCCUUACAUUGGCUAAACAGCUUUCAUUAGAAAAAGUCUACUCCUUUCAGUAGGCUGGUGAAAUUAGUUAAUUGGCCUUUUGCUACAAACUCCGUAGUGACUGGAAUUUUUGAGUCAGGCAACGCUAUGGUUUAAGAGAAAGUGAAGCAGCCUUGGCAACAAUAAAGCUUUCUAUUCAAAGCAGAUAAGGUAAUGGCCAGAUGGGGGAAAAGAGAGGUGCAAUAAAACUAAGAGGGUUAACUUCUGAAUAUUCAUUGUUCUUCCCAAUCAAAUGAAAUAUCGCACAAUGCACAGAUUUGUAGACUCGCCUGGUGUUAAGACAAGAAUGUUAAAACAGCUUUCAAUCUUCUCCUGAGGUAACAGCACAUGUGAGAGGGGAAAUCGUUAUUUCCAUAGACUUUUUGAUACAGCAUGCAUGUAUAUAUUUAAUUUCAGAGAUGAUAUCAUAACUCCAUUUUCCAGUCAUCUCAUGAUAAACUGGAUAAUAUAGCACACUGAAGUCUUUAUUCUCCCUCCAGAAAAGUAUUAAAGUUGAAGGACACAUUCUAGAAAAGGAAAUAAAAGCCCUAAAGCAGGGCUUCCCAGACAUGGUUCACCAGCUGUUGUUGACUACAACUCCCUUCAUCCCUGACCACCAGUCCUGUUAGCUAGGGAUGAUGGAACUUAUACUCCACAAACAGCUGGAGACCCAGGUUUGGGAAAUCCCACCCCAAAGGAUGGUUUAAAGUAGGGAAGUGGGAGGGGGGUGUCCUGAGGAGAGAGCUAAGGGCUAGAUGGAAAGGCCUGGAAGGCCUAUAUUCAGCCCCCAGGUCUAAGGUCCCUCAUCUGAGAGAAAUCAUAUCUCAAAUCUGCAAUAGUUAAUCAUUGAGAAAACCCAGCAUCUUCCACUACUAGCGCUUGAUCUGAGCUAGUGCUGUUUAAUGUUUAAAGCCCAACAGUGAACUGCAAAUGGUGUUUAAUGAAUUAAAUUAGUUUUGAUCAUCUGCAAAGGCCAUUAGUGCAGGCUGGUGCAGAUGCUAAACUCAGGGAAGACUGGACUAUGGGAGACCAGACCUCAGCUAUCGCUUGGUUUCUAAGCCAUAGCUCAGUUUUGCACUUAAGACUGAGAAGUGCAGAUUUGCUUCCAAAUACCUCUAGGCUUCCCAAAGUGGGCACAGAAGAUGCAAAGAUUUGGAGCCACCAACUGAAUCUCCUUAAAUAGAACAACUGACCUAGUAUUGGUCCUGCAAAUGAAAUUUUCAGGUGUUUGAAAGCAAAGAGAAAACUAAGUAGAUCUGCAUUCUUGAUUAUAAAAGAUGUCAGUUGUCAAAUGUUAUAGGAAAGAAAUAAAGAGCACUACAACCCCUACAUAAGACGUUUACAACUGUACUCAGUUUUUGGAUAUAUUGUUUUCUAUGCUUCUUCCAUUAUCAUGUUCCUCUGACUCAGCAUUUUAAAGAGAUUGGAAUGUAAUGAACUUUUGAUGAACUAAGAUAUGGGUGGUUACCUCUAAUGAAUCAUUGAGACAGAAGUUUCUUUCAAUGAGAAGCUAUUUGUACUAGAAAAAAUGAAUCAAGUUAAAGUUUUAAUUGUUAUUUCUCUCUUCCUUUUUCUCAAAAAAAGAAAAAGAAGUAUAAACCAAUCAAGAGAGAACGUAGAAAAAGAAAGUUUGACUUAGACUUUGCUAGUAAUACUGCAAAAACAUGCAGAAUGUAAACACCAUAGGAUGGAUCCAGACUGAAUUAAGUACUGUUGAAAUCCAUGGAACAAGUUAGGUGUGGCUUAAUUGGGAAAUGAAUCCUACCUACUUAAUCUGGACCCAGCCUAAGUAUUAUUAUUUUUCAGAUGUGCAAUUUGUAAUGAAAUUGAACUGAAACACCUGCAAUGCUAUUCUAUAAAAAGAGGUGCCAGAACUUACCAUGAAAGGCUCCCUUGUAAUGGCAAUGGUGCUGGAACUGAGUUCCAGUGAGUUCCGAAUGAGAAAAAGCCCUGCACCUAAGUAAAUUCAACUGAGAUGAACACUACACCAUUCAUGAUCAUCACCACCCCCACCCACCUUGUCUUGAGAUUACUGGGCCAAUGUGAGAAGCCACAAAGAAGCUGUUUCCACACCAAUUGUGGAAUUGGAGUUUAAUCCCUGUUCACAGCCUGCUAUUCUAGUACAGACUCUUCCCUACUCAGAAAGUAUAUCAAAUGCAUCCAUGAUCCAUUUCUAAUGGAGAGGAUCCAGAAAAUUGCAGGCCCAUUAUGCCCAUGCGAUAGUUCUUUUUCACCUUCUCCAUUCCACUGUAUCCCAGUACAUCUCCUAAAAAGCCAUUCUCAAGGGUCAAGGGACCCCCUACAGCAGUGUUCUUCAAUCGUGGGUCCCCAGAUGUUGUUGGGCUACCAUUUCCACCAUCCAUGGCCAUUGGCUAAAUUGGAGUUGUCGUUCCACAAAAUCUGGGGACCCAAGGCUGAAGACAACAGAUGGAAGGAAGCAGAACUAGGAAGCUUCAGCUGGAGAGGGAAUGCGGAGGCCCCACAUGUACAAAAAUGAAGUGACUUCUCUGAGCCCUGCCCAAUGUCAGGAAUUAGCAAUCCCAUUUAUUGACAGAUUUAAGCCCUCUUUGGGUAUUGUCCAACCCCUUGUUGAACAUGGGUGCAAGAAGCAGGGCUAUAUUGAAUGGCUCUGUCCUGGACAUUGCACAUGGUGUCUUGGUGUCUGCUUAUACAGCCGUCAUCCCUCAAGAGGGCCUCAUGUUCAUGCUGUAUGUGUAGACAUCAGGGAGUAGCACACAACAGCAGGGUUGAAGCUACUCGGCUCCUCACUCCUUUGUUGUUUAGUCUUACCUUCUGUGCAUCUACCGCCUCAGCAAUCUUGUCAUAUUUGUGUUCCUUCUUGUUUUACAUUCUUGGAGGCUCAGCUCUUUCUUUCGGAGUCCAGGUGUUCGGAAGUGUGCCAUAGGACUAACAAUCACUUUCUUUGUUAUAUUUAUUGCAAAAGAAAAAGAUGUCAGUGUUUGAUUAGUGAACCUCUGGAAGAUUAUUACUGGAUUUAUUUUACCUCUGGGGAAAUACUGGUGUGUUCAUUUUCCACCGUGUUCAUUCUUCACGACAUCUUUUGUGUGUGUUUUUUAAAAUAUGCAGCUAACCACAAGCUAGGCAUUUUUUGAACUUGAGCAAAGGAAAAAUGAGUGCCUCCCAGCUGCUCUAACUGUAAAUGUAACAAAAAUAAUUAAAGGUAAUUAAGUGUUGUGUGUGUGCUGAGAUUGAGGGGGUAGGUAGCAAGCAACCAACUAAAGCGAUUUUGCAAGUAGAUAGAUCUUAUCUAUCAAUGCUCAUGGCUAAAGGGAGAAGAGAGGAAAAGAAAGGAGAAAUUAUGUGCCUUUCGCUAUUGAGGUACAGAAGUGGCUGGCAUGCACACAUAGUAGCCCUUUUUGUUUUCAGCAGGAGGCAAGCAUGGAAUGAUUUUUCCCAGUUCAUGUUAAGUGUGGUUCAGGCUGGAGGAACCUGGAUUCAAGCCACGUCUUUCAGUAUGUGGCUUUGAUUACAUCAAACUUUUGUACUUGUUUUUCAAAAGGUUGCACAGAUAUGAUAAUAAUAAUAAUCUAUCUCUUGGGGGUUUUUUGUUUGUUUUUUUAAAAUGUAGCCUGCCUUACCACUGUCCAAGGCACCUUUCAUAAGAAUUAAAAUCACAGUAUUAAAUGCAAUAAAAACAAUACUGAAAUUAAAACUGAAAUGGCAGUGCCCUCCACAUUCAGGACCAUCAGGACAUAGCUGACCUCCCAUGGUAUGUUUGUCAGGGGAAGGCAGGACUGCCUCUCUCCUUUUGACAGCCAUUUUGUGUUACGACAUGCACCUCCAUAGCAGCAGCUAUUUUGUGACUGGCAGCUCCAGCACUCUCUCAAAAUUGUAAAAUGUGCCUGCUGAUCUGAAAAGGUUGGCAACUCCUGGUGUAGGGACUGGCAUGAACAAACAUUUCACCUACCAUCUCAGAGAACAAGGCUUUCCACCAAUUCCUUUGUGAGAAAAGAAACCUUUCCUUUCCCUCAGUUCUUAAGCUCUCGAGGAAGGGGGGACUGGCACAAAAUGCUUGCUGCUGAUAAUUGUGUGCAGAAAGAAGGCCUCAUGACCCAGUGAACAUAAGGCAACUGGCCCUCUGCCCUUUUGUUAUUUAAAGCUAUAUUCUAGUGGAGGAAAAACCAGGCUGAUAGAAAUCAAAUUCAUUAAGAUUCUGUGUCACUGAAAUCUUGUCUAGUGAUGGCUUUAAAUUCUUUUCAGUUUUAUCCCCUAAAGACCAUUUGGAAUGUGACCCUGGCGGCCCACACUUGUCUUCUUCAAUCAGGCCCACCUUUCUUGUUAUCUACCACCUGUAGGGGUCUGGCUAAAGUCAAAGUCAUUAUUUCUGGAUCUGAACGUCCUCAUGUGGAAAACACACACACACACACACAGAGAGAGAGAGAGAGAGAGAGAGGGAGGGAGACAGAGAGAGACUUCUCUUGCUAUUACAUGUAGUCGAGCAAUACAGGGCAUGGGGCAUGUCUGUAUAUCUUUAAAGAGAUUGUAUUGCAGAUAUAUAAAUAUAAACAUGAUUUUGGGGUUCUGUUAGUUAAAGAAAAAUAGAGGACAAAAGCUUGAGUACAGAGGAGCAUAUUUAUUAUAUCCAAUUCUUUUAAGGAGGAUUGUGGUUGCCGGCUAAUAGUAGCUCCUCCUUGCCCUCACAUCAGCCUCAUUGCAACCCUAAAGUUGGACUGAAGCCCAGGUGAAGGAAAGGCCAUAUCUCAGUGAUAGCAUAUCGGCUUUGUCACCCAGUGCUGACAAUACUGAGCUACCUAUAUGGACUUAAUGGUCUGAUUCAGUAUAAGGCAGCUUCCUGCUUCCAUUUAAACCACCCCAUUAUGGAGACCAUGAAGACUUUAAACUUACGGUAAUUUACCAUCUGGCUGUUCACUGUGAGAACAAGAUCCUGGACUAAAUGGGCCACUGGACUCAAUCCAGAAGUCUAUUCUUAUUUUCUUAUGAGUUAAGAAGGAACUUAUUUCAAAGGUUCUAACACCACACUUAAUGCUACCUAUUCAUUCUGUAAGGUUGAGAAGAUAGGUGAUAGGCAGACAACCCAAAGGAUUUUUUGGUUCCAGCAUUCAAAAUAAAAACUAUGCAAGCUAAUAUAACUGUCUGGAGUGUAACUGCAUCCUGUUGAAGUAUGGGAUGGAGCCUGUGGAGAUCAUGCUAAUAAGGGCUAUGAACUCUGCUCAGGUUGGGUUCCUUCCACACACACUGCAAGUGAUGCAAGGCUCAAGUGCAUCUCUGCAUGUUUAUUCUGCCUGGGGUAGGUUAGGAUGGGGAAUCAGUGGCCCUCUGGAAGUUGCUAGACUACAACUCCCAUCAGCCCUAACCACUGAUGAUGCUGGCUGGGACUGAUGGGAGCUGGAAUCCAACAACAUCUGGAGGGUCACAGUUUCCACAUCCCUUGGACAGAUAAAGGAAAAGAUCUUUCACAAAGAUUUUGUAAUCUCAGUUGUGUAGAAUUUCUAAAGAUUUACAAAGACAGAAAUGGCAAUUUAGCACUUUGCUAGAAGAAUGUCUUUUUUUGGUGUGGGUCUCUUUUUAAAUCAAUAUUAUCACUAAUCCCAGAAGCAGCACAAUAUUUUGUUUCUACCUUUUCCAGUUUGAGUAGCACGGAAUUCCAACCACAAAUAAAUGGCAUUUAAGUUUUAAAAAUAAUAUUGUAAAACAAAAUGAAACACACCCAAAAACUUUCUUAAAUGGGGUGGGGGGGAUAAUGUUUAAAGCUCAGUACUCCUCCUAACUUUUUCUUAUUUCUUAAUUCAGAUCUCCACAAAAGUCAGGCAUGGAACUGCAAAAUUUGAAAGGUACAAAAAAAAUGCCUCAAGGCCUCCAACUGACAAGCAGCCCAUUUUUAAAAUUAUUUCGUUAUCUUCAUACCUUUAUAGCCUACCUUUCCCCAACUGUAGAACGACAACAUGCAUUUGUUCUUACAAGGUGACUUGCUGGAUACCAAAAAAAAUCCAUAUAAUAUCAACUUUAGAUUAGCCUUUGUGAUUUGAAAUCAUUUUUAUAGUUAUAUAAAUAGGCUAGAGAAAACAGUCUUCACUUUUAUCUGUGCAUCUAAUUGGUAAAAAAAAGGGACAUGUUUUUAAAAUUAUGUUUUCCUAUCACAAUACCAACUUCUUCUGGCCUGCAAGAAUUAAAGAGAUAAAUUUCAUUAUUCAACACACACUAGCAAACAGAGUUUUGUGGGGGAAUGUAUGCGGGAUUUCAAGGAACAUGCUAAUUCAUUGGUCCAGGUAAUUACUGACAGGGAAUGCUAUAGUAAAAACAUCAGAGUGGUUUACAACAAACCCUGAACCCUUCUUUUUUAUUAUUUCGGGACACAGAUGAUAGCAUAAAUAAUUUCCCUGCAUGCUAUAGGAACAACGAGGUGGGGGGAAUUUACCUCUGAGAAUAUCUGUAAUAUCCAUGGGUAUAUAAAUCCUAGGAAAUUUAAGGGGUGGUUCACAAGCCAUUUAUAUUGAUAUAGUUUUAUAGAAAUCAAUAGGCUCCAGGUAGCAAAACAGGCCUAACUGCUAUUUUAGUAGAAUACUAAAUGUCUGCAUCAUUCUUCUUCUACACAGUACAUGCCAGAUUCACUGGAACCAAUAUGGUGUCAUUGCUUUACUAUUAUUUCCAUUCAGUUAUGAAAUCCAGUGGGUGGCCUUGGGCAAGUUACAGUUGCUCAGUCUAGUCUCCUUCACAGAGUUCAGAUAGGAAGGGUAGGGUGCAUAGAAGAGAAGUAAUAUUUCCUUCCCAAAUGUCGGUUUUAUGACUUGGUGCUCAAGUGUCAGCUGGGCAUAAAAUAUUAAAACAGAUAUUCUUGGGGGAAGCAAGCUUGUAGUUCGUGGUGUCUAAGGUAGAACUGUAGCUGUUUCUGAAAUACAUGUCCAUCACUUGUUGACUGAUGAAACCUUAUAUAAAUACUCAUGACAUACAAACCCAGAAGCAUCAUGGGAACCUCUUUGGAGUAUGCCUAGCCCAGCCCAGAUGUGCACAUGGAGUGUGAGACAUGUCUAAGGACCACACACGCAUGUGAAGGGCCCACAUAUGUCAGCAACACAGCAAGCAUCAUAGAAAUGGAACUUUAGCAUCAAAUUGUGGUACCCAGAACCAGACACAGUACUCCAGAUGUGGUCUGACCAAGGUAGAAUAGAGUUGGACUAUUACUUCCCUUGACACUAUACUUCUGUUGAUGCAGCCUAGAAUAGCAUUAGCUUUGUUUUGCUGCUGCAUCACGCUCAUGUUAAGCUUGUGGUCUACUAAGACCCCUAGAUCCUUUUGUACUACAGUGGUACCUCGGGUUAAGUACUUAAUUCAUUCCGGAGGUCUGUUCUUAACCUGAAACUGUUCUUAACCUGAAGCACCACUUUAGCUAAUGGGGCCUCCUGCUGCCGCCGGAGCACAAUUUCUGUUCUUAUUAAAGACAUUUAAAUAUCCUUUUCACAUGUACUACUGGCAAUCCAGGUGUUGUUUGUUUGCAUGUUGCUUUUCUACAAGUUUGUGUUCAAAACAGCUCACAACAUAUCAAUUAACAAUAGGUACGCCAAUCCAAAACAACAACAAUAGAAACAAUUGCAAAUAACCAUUGUCUCCAUAAAUAAGCACAUCAUUAAUAUAGAAAUCAACACAACUUUGUAGGGGGAGGGGAAUGCAAAUUACCCAGUCGAACAUCUUAAAACUGUAAUACAAGGCCCAAUAGGUUUGAGUCUUCAUCCUAUAAUGUUUUGGUCCUGAAAUUUCUGAAAGUGGUUCAGCAAGCUUUUAGGACUUCGCUGAUGAUUCACAUACUAGAAUGAGCACAAUUUAAGUAAUUGCAAUGAAAUCAAUUACCUAUUCGUUAAAUACUGAAAUCAUAUUUGUUUGCUCUCUCCGGUUUUCCUGAAGAUCCUUAAACAACUCUGUCUUGGAAACAUAAACUGUAAUUUGGCCUCCAGGGAAAAAAAAGGGGGGGGAGGCUAAUCCCUCAGCACAAUGUAAAAUGCUUAAGCAGAUGUUUAUGAAAAUCUGUGUCCUUGGGCCAUGUAUAGAUUUGCUAUGCUACAGUUGUCAUCAUAAGCUACUAAAGAAUUUGCAAAGCUGCAUUAAAGAUUACCAAAGUUAAAAUCCUAGAAUUAGAGAACUAGAUGACCCCAAAGUCCCAUUGUGUCUAAACCUUUCCUGCAUGGCAGCACCACCCAACUGGCAGGAGCACCAUUUACAGUAGGUGGUAUGUGGGAGGCAGUGUGUCGCCUCCAGAAUUUCAAACCACAGAGCACCUAUUAUUUUGGACUAGUUCAUUAACUCUACAUUCUACAUAUUCCCCCAAGAAGCCCUGUGUAUUAGCAAAACGAUUGACCAAAUCAGCCAAAAUGAUUUACUUCUUUGUGGUCAUUCUCUGGUUGAGAUUCCAUUAUAAGCAGAGAAGCAAUGCCAUGGGCUCACUUUUUAAAAAAAUAUAUGUGCAAAAACGACAAGGAGUCUUGUGGCACUUUAAAAAUUAAAAAUGUGUUGUGAUGUAAGCUUUUGUGGACUACAGGUCACUUCACACAUAGAUGAUUUUGCUUGUGUGUGCAUUGUGUGUGUGUGGUGAAUUAUAAACAGUGAGGUCAGAAAGAUAUGACAUGUACAGGUGGUGAUAAAUCACCUUACUAACGGUGGCCAUUCAUAAAAAAACUAGGUGCUAACACACAUCCUGGCACUGGUAAGCCAACAUGAUAAAAAUCAGUUGUGCCAACUGAGUCCACAGGUGAUAGCACUGAACCUCUUGAUGUAUCCAGUGGUUUUAUGUUGUACUCUCCUCUGAAGUUCCUUUGAUUAAGGGUGGCCAGUUACAAAGUGUCCUGGGAGGCUGAAGUAUUCCCCACAAGCCACGUCCAAUGACAGAUUUGUUUCAAUUAUUCUUUUCCAUAGAGACUGGCCUCUUUGCACCAUGUAGAAUGCAGAAGGGCAGUGAUGGUGGACGAUCACUUAUGUCCCUUUGGAAGAUGAGCUGGUGAAUGAACCACUGGUGGGGUGGAUGACAUUACCGGGUCCUGUAAUACUGCUGUGGAUGGAGUUGGUGGCAUCAGUCUGCCCCAGGGUCUGCUCCCUGUGUAGAUAUCCUUGUCAUUGUUGCUGAGUAGCUGUUUUAAGCAGUGGUGGCUGGUGUCCAUUGGGAAUGAUGGGGUGGAAGGCAGGAAGCCUAGCAGUAGGUGGAGCUAGAGCCAAUGAGAGGAAGAGUUUGGAAAUUCUAGCUUUGUCUUAGGUUGUGUGAAUGCUCUUUGUAAGCAACUACAGGCCUUCUAUCCAAGGCUUGGAAGAGGGAAAUAUCAUUGUCUGGGAUGGGCUGUAGAAAACUGAACAUAUAGUGAUUUAGGGAAUACAGUGUUUAGGGAAGUUUUUAAUGUUUUAUUUUUUGUGUGUUUUUAAUAUUCUGUUGGGAGCCACCCAGAAUGGCUGGGGAGGCCUGGCCAGAUGGGCAGGUUAUAAGUAAGUAAGUAAGUAAGUAAGUAAGUAAUAAACAAAUAAUCUAAUUUUGACUUGUAAUUGACAACAAGUAGUGUUCUGUCAUUUUUCUCUCCUCUAAUAGAUUGUUUGUGGGAAGUAGACUGUAGCCCACAAAAGCAUACGUCAUAAUAAAUUUGUUUGUCUUUCAGGUGCCACCAGUCACUUUUGCUGCAAGACACUCUGUCGCUACCCCUUUUGGAAAUGGUUACAUAUCUGUGCAGGUAAAAUUAUGUGGUCUGGAUGCUUAAGUACAUUGUAGAGUCCAUUUAACUUUCUGAGUGUUACACUUCCGCAAAUGUACUGCAGUUUUCAUUACAUCUGACUUGAUUGGCAGGGUUUAGAUAAUUUGUUUUCUAAUUAACAUGGCUUUCUGCUUCAUUCUGAUUAGCUUCUAGCAGGUAGGUUCAGAGAACGCAGUUGGCGGUGACAGUAUUUUGCUCUCCAUGGUAACUAACUUCCUGAGAGAUGCUUAAUUGCCUGAUUGUCUGUUUCGGAAAUGCUGCUGUUUUGGAUGCUACCCUUGCAUUCACUUAAACAGAAGAGCUCCUCUUAACCAGUUAUACAGUGGUACCUCGGGUUACAUACGCUUCAGGUUACAGACUUAUAUAGUGCUUCAUAUAUAGUGCUUCAUAUAUAGUGCUUCAGGUUAAGAACUUCGCUUCAGGAUAAGAACAGAAAUCAUGCUCUGGCGGCGCGGCGGCAGCAGGAGGCCCCAUUAGCUAAAGUGGUGCUUCAGGUUAAGAACAGUUUCAGGUUAAGAACGGACCUCCGAAACGAAUUAAGUGCUUAACCCGAGGUACCACUGUAUAGAGAAGCAAAGGAUAGUAUAGCAUGGGGUCUAAACUGCUGGUUGUUGGGCAUGUUAGGUUGGUCUUAUUUGUACUUAACGUAUUUUUCGCUCUAUAAGACGCACCAGACCACAAGACGCACCUAGUUUUUGGAGAAGGAAAACAAGAAAAAAAAUAUUCUGAAUCUCAGAAGCCAGAACAGCAAGAGGGAUCGCUGCGCAGUGAAAGCAGCAAUCCCUCUUGCUGUUCUGGCUUCUGUGAUAGCUGCGCAGCCUGCAUUCGCUCCAUAAGACGCACACACUUUCCCCCUUACUUUUUAGGAGGGAAAAAGUGAGUCUUAUAGAGCAAAAAAUGCGGUAUUUUAUUUGCACUGUUUUUGCUGUUGUAAGCAGCAUUAGGACCUCAUGGUGACUAGUUUCAGUAAGAAAUCUAAUAAACAAUAACAGCUGCAUUUGACCCUCUGUGUGCAUGUACGGAUGCUACUUACCAGAGCCGGUCCACCCACAAGGAAGGUUGGGGCAACAGGAUCCACAGGGACAGCAGAUUCUGAUAUAGAUCUUUAUUUUCCCCCUUGUUCCUGUUGUAGAUCUUCACUCACCCCUUAUUCCCUGGUUCAGGGGGGUGCUUUUGCGAUUGACCUCAGGUGCCAAAAUGUCUCAGGCCAGCCCUGCUGCUAAUAUAGAAAGGGAUGAACUGAACAAACUGUUGCACAGCACCUUGAUCUCUGAGCGAUGUGAGAUUCCAGGCAUUCUAGGCUCUUACCCAGAGUUCAUGUUUCCUUUGGAAUGAGGCACAAUGGAGACUGUGGUGUCUUUAUGAUUUAUAGUUUAUUUAUACAUAUGUACAACCUGUGCCUAUGAUGGAGGGGCACGAAAAGGUUCUUGCUUCUGCAGCUAUCUGCAGCCUUGGAUUCAAGCAGAUACCAGGCAUGACUCUCUCUCUCUCUGUCUUCCCAGCCUGCAGCUUUUCCAGCUUCCAGCUCACCAUAGCUCAACUCUUAACUUUGCCUUUGUCUUUCUAACUACCAGUGAGUUGAGGGGGGGGCACCAUUUGUCUUCAUGGCAUAGUCGUGUUUGAAUAUCACUGUUGAAAGUAAUAGUUUUCUUCAUAUCAUUGGACAAACAGCACAUUAAAAGGAUCUGGAAUACACAUACAUACAAACAUACAAAUCCUUCUUCAAUUAAAGCUGCAAUCUACCCCUCGGUGAGCUUCACACUCUGCUUCAAGAAUUAAAUUAUGUUCUUCAAUUAGCUGUAUCUUUCUUUCUGCAGUUCUAGUUUCCACUCCAUCAAAGAGCUAGUUUACUAAAUCAAUUUUAGACUCCAUUAAUUCCAACUUUCCUUUUUAGCAGACUCUUCUAGAGCUUGAUCUUCUUGUAGUAGUAUUCUACUGUCAAACACAACUUAGUCUUUUUUUAAAAAAGUUUUGCCAAAUUUUAGCCUGCAGGCAGAAGUGUCCUAAGGGUUGCCUUACUUCAUUGCAUCUGGUCACCUGUAUUAGUAGAAACUUGCUACACCAUCCUGAUGUAUAUCAAAAUAUGAUGUUACAAAAGUAUGUUUUUCAUCAUAUCAAAGACAGCAUGAGAAAAGGGGUGAGGAAAUUAAGUAAUGUACCUAAGGCAGCUGUCAAGAAUGGAGCUGGCGAGCUGGGUUGUAGAUGAACUGAUGAGAAUUGGCUCAAAGUCUUUGUAAAAGCCAUCAAUAAGGAUAGGAUUCUAACCUAUGAAUCCAAGUGACAGACAGACAUAGAAGAUAUCCCGUUAUUGCUACAGCCCAGUUAGUACGCAAGAACAUUUGCUGAUCUCUUAAAAUGGACCACACAUAAAUAUACAUAAUUGGAUUUCACUACACUUAUUGACAAAACAUAUGAAGAGACUCAGUUGAAAAGCACUGUGAGUUCUAGAAUACAAAUGUUAAUUCUCUGGCUUUUUAUCUGUGAUUCGUCUGUAAUUCACACAAACCCAGUCAUUUAGCCUCCUUGCUUGAUGCAGAACCCUGCAGAUUAUCACUCUCCAACUUGUGGAGGGCAAUGCAGACAGUGGUGGAGAGUGGGUGGAGCUUUCUCACUCAUUGCUGCGCUUCCUGCUCAUAUGUUUAGCUAUUCCAGAAGACAAAUGACUGAAUAGGGCUAUAGACAAGGCAUCAUUGGAAGCUGCAGUCAUAUAGUGAGGAACACUAGGCCCAGGAUACCUGACGAACUGCCUUGUCCAAUAUCACCCUGCUUAAUGACUCACAUAUUAAUCUAAGGCCCCACUCCAUGCCUUUCUGCUCCCUUAAAGUGGAGCAGAUUGCCAAGCAGAAACUAUGAGGGCCUUCUCAGCAAUUGUGCCCAGGCGUCUGAAUUCUCUGCUGUGGGAAGCCCAGGGCUGUUUUCCUGCAGAUGAAAGUUUCUGCAUUUGAAUAGUGUGUAAAUAUUUUGUAGUAUUAGGUAGAGGUAUGCAUCAUAUUCAGAAAAAUCCUGAACCCAUACAUGCACAAAACUCAUCUUCUGCUCCUAACACCUCCCUAUUGUGUACUUAACAUGGGAUUUAAUGUCAAGCUACAUAAUUUGUAUUGUAUGGGUUAUUACCAGUACUAAAAUAAAAGUACAUUCCCCAGUUUCUUCUGCCCAUAGAAAAUUGGGUUUGUUUUUGCCUCUAGUCUUCUCUAACUUAAUGCUGCAGAGCUAAAGAAGACAUGCUGAAUAAGAACGUAACAUUUUUAUAGACACUUAAAAGGGCGGGGGGGGGGGAAUCAGCUUUAUGGAACACUUCGCUUUACAAAUGCAUUUGUGUUUUCAGUGUGCCAUGGAUGAUGGUCAUCUGUUACUUCCUAAUCAGCAUUUUAUUACCGGCCCAGAAAGGUUUUUGUUGGGUAGGUGGGUGGGAGGGAACCAAUAUGCUUUCAAAGCUCUGGGAAAACUCGAUAUUAAAAUAGCAUCUGCCAGUAUUUAUAUGUUUGGUUUGAAGGUAUGAGAAUGUUUCUGAUGUCUGAUAUGUGACCACAUAGCAAGAGGUAAAAUGAAGUUACCAAAAUCCUGCUCUCACAGUGUCCUGACAGGUGUCUGUGGGAAGCCCACAGGCAGGGAAGCCCACAAUGCAACAGAACUUUCCCCACUGAGCCAAGUGGUGCUCAGAGACCUACUGCCUCCAACCGUGGAGGUACAAUAUAAGCAGCAGCCAAGUAGGAUGGUGAGAAAUAAGCUUUGUGCUAUAGAAUUGUCCACCCUCACCAUCUAUAUGCAUCUACUAUAUGCAUUCAACCAAGGUAAUUAAGAAUCAAGUAUUUUACAGAGUGAAGGGCGCCCAAAUGAAGGCUAGUAUUGACCUCUGUCAAUAUCAUUCUAGAUUAGAAUAAUGCCAUCUGGCUUUAUUUGCAGUUCCCAAGAUUAAUCUCUAAGCAACCAACUCACUCCCUAAGCAUGCAGGGGGUAAUAAAAAUGUCAGUGUGGUUUCCUCCAUUCCUUGAACAACACUUAUCACCAUUACAAUGGAGACAAAGACAAUGUCUAGACUCAAUGGACUAGUCAUUGACACUGACUUGGGUUGAUCUAUAGACCAUUUAAAACCUACUGGUGAUGUGGUUCAGAUUUUAACUGCAUAUAUUUUAUGCUAACCUAAAAUGUGAGGUUCCUUGAAAGGCUCCAAAUGUUUUUUCUCUAAAAAAUUGUACACUUUCUUUCCCGUUAAUAAAACAAAAGAACCCCAAGAUGCUCUUUAUUCCUCAUACAUCAAAUCUUAUCUAAAAGGAAAACAUUUUGUCAGAGAUAUUGCUUAAGGCAAUACAAUAUAUUUUUGACUGUCAAAAGAAAAUCACUUUGAUUAAAGUGUGCCCUUUUUUUCAGCCAUUUUAAUAUUGCUGCUUUGCUGAGUGAAUGCAGUGAUACAGAUCAAUGCUUUCCCUUGAAAUCAGAAUUAUUUCAGUUGCUGCUUGAGUGGGCCCCUAUGCUUAGCUUCCACUUGAUUAAAAUGACUAUCAGAGUGGCUUUGCACCCUGCACCCCCCACAAAAAUGAGGUUAAUGUGUUUUGAAGCCUUAGAAGGAUGAAGUCUUUUGUGUCAGGAGGCAUAAUGGAGUAUUAUGGUAGCAGUCAUUCCACACAAUUGAAAUAGUUUAUUUCAUAUUCAGUACCAUUCACCAUGGCAUUUUGCUAGCAAUAUCAAGGGGAAAUGCUUCUCUUUUCAUGAUUUUCCAGAUCUGUUAUAUUAGUCAGCAGCAAAUGGUAGUCAAUAGGCAUUUCCUGGGUUUCUACCACUCUCUUCAUCAGUACAAAGGUGAGUGGAGUAUACCUGGCUCUUGGCUGGUGUAGCAGCUCUCUUUCCUCUUUGGGUGGACGUGAUCUUCUCCAUAAUCCAGUUUCAAUUGGCUGUGCCUGGGAUGGGGAACUUUUGGCCCUCCAGAUGUUAUUAAGCUACAACUCCCAUGAGCACCAGCAAGCAUGGCCAAUGGCCAGGGAUGGUGACUAUGCUUCAGCAACAUCUGGAGAGUAAAAGGAUCUCCUAGCUUGCCAUUGUCCAUGAUGACUGGGACUGAUGGGAGCUGCAUGAAGUUUCCUGGACUCAGCUUGGAAUUAUGACCGACAUAGGCAGAUGCUAACAUACACACACUUGCAAUUCCAACCCCACAAUGAGAUCCAACUCCUUUACUACUGCUACCACAUGGGCCACUGCUCCGGCAACAACUGCUACUCCAGCAAUAGUCUAGAAGCUCUCUCCAUCUCCCCCAUGCCAGUGCCCAGAACAAAUGCUGCCACUGCAGCAAGUCAACAGUCAUGAAGUUCAGGCUGAUCGGUAGCUUGAGUAACAGAUGGCAAAGUCAUAGAGCCCUCGGGGAAAAUAAAUGAUCUCAAGAAUAUGUAUUGUUGAAUGCCAUCACAAUCUCCAAGCGGCGCGAGAUUCCCAGCUUUCAGAUGUUUACCCAGGGUUUGUGUUUCCUUUGUGAUAUAUGGUUUAUUUACACACAUAUUUACAACCUGAACCUAUGAUGGAGGGGUUCAUAGCAUUAAUACCCCAAGUGGGCCUUGCUUCCUCCACAGCCUUGGAUACAAACAGAAAUCAAGCAUCACUCUGGCUUCCCAGUCUGUUGCUUCCAGCUUCUAGUUCACAUGACUCACUCUCCACUCUCAACUCUGCCUUUGUCUUUUUAACUACCUGUGAAUUGAGGGAGGAGCCCCCCCACCCAUUUGCCAUCUUGCACUGAGCCCCUUCCUUAGUUUCCCUUAAUGGCUUGUCACCCAGAAAGCUAGCUUGGCUAUUCCAAUGAUUAGUGGAAGGCCCAAGCAUUCAGCCUAACCUCCCCUCCCUUAACAGCGUUAUUAGAACAGCUGCACAUGUGAACCAUGUGUGGAUAUAUGUACAUAGAAUACAAAAUGCAAAUAUUCAAAGCCAGUAAGUCAUUUUUUUUGUUAUAUUUGAGGACUUUUUUUGUUUUGUCUAACACUAGUUUGAUAUGUUCUAUCCAAUUCAAAAAUCCCCCUUUAAACUUUUAAUAAAUCUUCCCAAACCUUCAAACAGCAGGAGACUGAGAGAUUUGUUUCCUGCUGCAAUAAAAUGUAGCUGCCAAUUGCACAAUGCAUAUAAAUCCAUAAUAAAUAACUUACUCGCAGCCUUGGCUCAUUUACAUAUUCACUAGCAUCUACAAGUCGUUCUUAAGGGUAUAGAAGUACAUAUAAAAUCCCCAGCAAGCCUUGUGUUCUUGAUCUUAUCACAGGGAAGUAUGUCAACAAGCCCUAGAGCAGUUUUAGUGGGUGGAAAGCAGUUUUUAAAAUGUUGCUUUGCUAGGAGCAGGUUCUACUUGAGAAAAAUGUUAUAUGGAAGCUGGCAGGAUAUACCUAAGGGAACAGCAAGCAGACUAGGUCGACAUUCUAUUUUCCUUAGGCAGACUGUCCUGGAGAGUAUGCACGAUCCUUGCAAGGCCUUUUUAAAAUCUUAAAUCAACUUGAAGGCAGGGCAGGAUGGGGGUGCUCACACAAGCAUUGCAUUACUCAUGAACCAAAAAUACAGCUGCAGGCAAGAUUUCAGCUUCUAGUAGUAAAAUUAAGCACUUAAGUCUCAGCAAGAAAAGCUGACUGAAUGUUUGGCAGCAAACACUGAAGAAUCUAGUCCUCACCAACAGGAAGGAAUUGAACAUUGAAGUGGAAGCAGCUGGGAACCUUUGGAGGAAGUGAUCAUGUCUUCUUGGGUUUCCUGAUACAGAGGCAAGGGGAAACUGAGUAUACUUGGACAUGCACACUGGACGUUUAAGUUCUUUCCAGAGGUUCUAUCAUGUCUUUAAUCCAGAUGUGUUGGGCUAUUUUGGAGCGUUAUUCUAACCCAGUGAAAUCCAUGAAUAUAUUGUUACACACCACCCCAAAGGGUGUGAGAUUCCAGGGGUCCCAGGUGCUCACCCAGGAUUGUGUUUCCAUUGGGAGGAUUAAGGCACAGUGGAGGCUACUGUCUUUAAGGAAUAUUUUUAACCCAUAUUUACACCUGGAAGUCUGCAAUGGAGGAGGCGCAGAACAUUAUAUCCCAAGAGCAUCUUUCAUAGAUUCAGCAAGCUUGUGUCUGAAGCAGCAGUCAGUUAUGGUUCCCGGUCUCUUAGUGCAGUUUUCUUCUGCCAGCAACUCAUGGAGGUCUGGCCUUUGUUUUCCUCCCUCUUCCCAGUACACCCUUAAUGAGUUGUUUCUUAAUGGCUCUGCACUUACCUGUAACUAGCCAGCUGGUUUGCAUAAGCUAGCCCAGAAAUCCCUGUGCAGCUUGUAUUUUUCCUUCAAUAUCCCAAAUAUUAUCUAGAUUCUGACAUUCAUUCAUUUCUUGGGUUUUAGGGGAGCAUCCCCCCACAUUCAUAUGUUCUUAAUCCUUGACUAAGGUCCUCUUUUCACCAUUUCAAAAACAAACAUUUAGUGAUAAAUGUAUAAUGCCACACAUUAUAAAAUAAACACAGUCUCUCCUUGCUGAUCUAUCUGUACAGCGUCUCAUCAUGAAGUUUAUUUGUGCUGCAUUUGCACAAUGGAAUGAAGCACAUGUUUCACAUUUGGUCCCCCAGAGAACUACCCUUUGAUCUCUUUUGUCUCACCUGCCUUGAUUCAUUUCAUGUCAAAUGCUGCUUGACAGCACAUGGCCUGACCAAUUGGAAUUUGUACACUGAUGCUUCAUUUGUCUCACUCUUUCAUUUCAUGGUUUCGUCUAGUUCAUGUGGCCAGUAAAUGCCCAUAGGAACUACAUUUGUAAAGCUAAAAAAAGGCUUCCUAGUAAUCUGUUGCAAAUUUGCAGUGAUAUUUCUGUGGCGGGCAGUAUGAAUUCAUAGCAUCGUCACCAUUUCAUAUAUGGCCUCAUCAUGUACAAUUUCCUCUAAGGCUGUCAUUGCUGUGGCUUUUUUUACUCAACUAGGCAUUUACCUCUUACUUCCUGCAGUUGUCCACAGUUCAGUCAACUUUCCCUUAUCUUUUCCUUUUAAUAUUCCAGACAGAUAAACAGACCAGUAGGUCUUCCUCAUAACUUUGCAUCAGGAUGGCCAGAUGCAAAAAUAAACAGGACUCCUGCACCUUUAAUAGCUAUAAAGAGGAAGGAAUGUCAUCUACACCUGCUGAACUUUCCUGUCCUAAAAAGACAUAGGACCCUUGUCGUAAUUUGUACCUGGCCAACUUACUCUAUAAUCACCAGCAUAAUGAGCAGAACAGAACAUACAUGUUGGCUUGUAGAAGAAUGUGAUGGGACAGGAUGAGACAACCCAAUCUUUAUUCUACACUUCCUCAUUCAAUGAAGACAGACACAGAACUAUUACACUUAUUAAUUGUGCCUGUUUGUACAGAUAUAUUGUGUUUGUUUGUUUAUAGCAUGCUAAGGAUCUGCACACGACACACGUCAAAGCAUCCCUUCUGUUAAAAGUAACAGCAAUAACCUGUAUAUAUUUACACAAAAAUAAGUACUGCUGUGCUCAGUGAUGCUUGCCCCAAGGAAAUUGUACAUAUGAUUGCAGCUUGUUCUAUACAUAUUCUGAAUAGUUUACUUUGAGUUCUGAAUAAAUUCCACAGAGUUCAGCAAGAUGCACCACCUUGUAAGUGUUGGCAGGAUUACAACCUUACUCAGAUCGAACAGAUUCUGACAACAGGAAUUAAGGAGUUGAACCUGCCUGAAGCCAAUACUGCCUAAUAUGCAAAACCAGACCAGCUGCAUAUUAAAUAUAAACAGAGGAGGCCUUCAUCUCCAUGAUCAUUGCCUUUUUCAAAAUGGUAAAUGGAUCAUAUUCUAUUCACUGAGUUCAAAAAGCCUUAUGGUUUUGAUGCUACCAUUAGAGCAUGAGAGUAUUGGGUAUCAAACUACCGGUACAUCAAAUUCUAGGCUGAAUACUCCCACCUGCUGGUUCAGCUCAAUCUCCACAAUGCUUUUUAGCACUUUUAGGUGUGAAUACAUUAAGCAUGCUGGAUUUUUUAAAACACAGGUUCAGGUUUUAAAAAAUUUAAAGACUUCCCCACAUUAUUUAUUUCAGUUGCCGUCUUUUAUGAAACCUAUACCCCAUAUCAGUAAAAAAGAAGCACAAUGCACCAAAAUACAUGUUAACUAUUACAAGUAAAUUCUGGCACAGCUCUACUGUGUUGGAUAGAGUCCAAAUUUAGAGCCAGAGCAAAUGUAUUCUUUGAUGAGGCUUGAUUUUGUGAAAUGGCUGCAGUUUAUUUUAAGAAUGAACGUAAUCUAUAAACAUUAAAAAUGAAAAGUUGAAAACACUCUGCUGCAGAUGGGCCUGCCACCACUUCUCUGAAGAUGCUGAGGGUGCAUAGGAUGGCACUGAAGUCUGGAGGAUCUGUAAAAUCUUGGACUUCAUUUCAUUGAUAUUUUCAUUGAAGGAAGAUUCAUUCUGGAUUCAGCCAUGAGAACAAAAGUCAACAUACCUUUUUGCCAUUUUGUCCAGGAAAUUUUACUGUUCUUAGUGAGAUAAGCCAUUUAAAAAAUCAAAGUGACUUAUGACACACCAUCUUAUGACACCAUCUGAAGAAAUAUAGUUGUUUCUCAUUGGUGUCAUUAAUGUUCUCCCCCAAAAACGAUAGUUUUGCAAGCUGCAUUAAUUUUUUAUCAAUUUAAAGCAGAGGCACUAAUGAAAUAGUUUGGGGAAUUUCAUAGAGUAAGGCUGUUUCUCCUUCUUCCUGUGCUUUUUUUCUACAAACACAAUUUGAGACAUAACAGCUUUGCUUACUCCUUGUUUGGAUUGAUUGAACCUUUCUAGUGAGUUCUUACCAACCCCCAGUAAAAAGAAAGCUGUUGCUUGGGAUUAAUGUUUUUAAUAAAACAACCCCCUCAAACAUCUAAUUGCAAUGAUUCAAAGUGAAAGUCACUAACAAAUCAUUUACACACACAUUAUCUAUAAUGUCUACUGGGUUCUGUGUAGCUGUAAAUAGACAUGGUCAUUAUGUUCCAUGAGUGUUCCUACAAAAGUGGGUGGGUGUUCCUUAAAGUCAACUGCAUCACAAAAGAACACAGAAUGAAAGCAGUUUAUAAACAGAAAUGCCUCUCUUGCAUGCAAAAAGGGUGCCGCAACAUCCUUAUAACAACAUUAUAUAACGCAGUAACAUUAGCCACAAUCCAAAGAUGCACAAAACUACAGUUUAUUAUGUUCGGUGAGACCUUAGGCUUAUUGUUUUCAAACCACAACAUGCCACAAAGCAAUCUGCUUUUGCAACUAAGACUUCUUACUCUUUCGGGCAUUUGGGGUCAGCCAUUCAAAAGGAGAAAAGCCAACAAUUUAACUAAAAUAGCCUAAGCCUCAUGUGUGACUGCAGCUAUGUCUUUGGAUCUUUGCCAUGGCAGCUGUGAAAUCCAUCACAAAGUACCAUAACAUAUCUUGAUUGCAGUAUGCUGGUUGUGGUAUAGCCUCUCUGUUAGCCAUGAAAACAUCCUUGAGGAUCAGGGUUUUGUUCAUAUGCAAAAGGUGUUUAAGGUUGCUGAAUGAAGAACACCUAAUAGGAAGUCAGGGUCAGUGAGUUAAAACACACCUCUGAGUUAAAACACAACUAGUUCAGAAUCCAGUCACACAAAUCUCUUGUUUAAUAAAUUUUAUCCAGAUCAUUGUCUUAAAUCAUGGCCCUUGUCAUUCAUUUGCUUACAGUAAAUAAAGUGUUUUACUGCACUUGCAAAAAAACACACAAAAAAGAAACACCAACCAUUAAUAUUUAUUGGUGUUUAGCAGUCAUGCCACAACGUAUAUAAAAUUUAUUUUGAAAAUGCUUUCUAAGCAUUUCAGGUUUUGUCGCAUAUGCUUCUGGAGAGGGGUAGUAAUGCCUGCCAUUAAGUGGGUUGUUAAUUAUGUUGUUUUCUUCACCAAACCUCUCUUCCCCCUUCUGCUCAUGAGAUUAUGGAUAGGAGCUAAAUACUUUAUUAUGAACAUAUAUUACCUCACGAGCUCUUUUAGAUUUAUUGCCAUAAUUGCAAUCCCUAAGGAUAUGUUAAUCUGCAAUAAAGUUUACCUUGUUUAUCCUUCCAAAACAUUCUUGUAGUGGUAGGUACGGUAAUUUUUCCAUUUUCUAUAUAGGAUAUGAAUAGUUAGUUGCCCAGAGCCAAAGAGCUGAAGCCCAACUAACAAGUUAUACUACCUCACCUUAUUUGGCUUGCAUAGCCUGAAGCAGCUCCCGUAUACCAAAUAGUUCAUUCACCACAGGCAGCAGAAGGUCCUCUCCCUCUUCCCGUCAGCUUCCUUAUUAGUCCCAACUCUUUCCAUAGCUCUUCAAGAGACACUUUGUCCUUGUGAUUUGCAGCCCAGUGAAACCUACCUUCAGGAUGUAUAAUUAGAAUGGACUAGUAUUUGAAAGAUAUAAGACAUGGAGAAGAUGUGGUCCAUUUUGACGGAUGGGCAGGGCCAUGGCUUGGAAGUGAGAGCUGGGCCAUAAAGAAGGCUGAUCACUGAAGAAGUGAUGCUUUUGAAUUAUGGUGCUGGGAGAGACCCUUGAGAGUCCCAUGGACUGCAAGAAGAUCAAACCUAUCCAUUCUUAAGGAAAUCAGCCCUGAGUGCUCACUGGAAGGACAGAUCCUGAAGCUGAGGCUUCAAUACUUUGGCCACCUCAUGAGAGAGAAGACUCCCUGGAAAAGACCCUGAUGUUGGGAAAGAUGGAGGGCACAAGGAGAAGGGGACGACAGAGGACGAGAUGGUUGGACAGUGUUCUCAAAGCUACCAGCAUGUCUGACCAAACUGCAGGAGGCAGUGGAAGACAGGAGUGCCUGGCGUGCUGUGGUCCAUGGGGUCAUGAAGAGUCGGACACGACUAAACAACAAAAAGACACGGAGAAGAUGCAGUCCAUUUUGACGGAUGGGCAGGGCCAUGGCUUGGGUGUUGGAAGCACAGUUUUAUGAUGGUUUUGCUCCUACCCGCAUGACUGGUACCGGAGACUCACACCUACAUCUUGGUAGCUUAGUUGCCAGAUGACUCGAGACACUAUUUUGUCCAAAAUGCUAUUUAACAUCUACAUAAAACCAUUGGGAACAGUCAUCAGGAGGUGUGGGACACAGUGUCAUCAGUAUACUAUUGACUCUCAGCUCUACUCUGCUAUUAAAUCUAAGUCAGGAGAGGCUGAACCACUGCACUUUAUGGAGUAGAUAUGGGUCAAUAAACUAAAGCUGAAUCUUGCUAAGACACUGUGGGCAAGUGGUUCCCAGGUUCAAGAAUUGGGGGAUCUGCCUGUUCUAGAUGGCGUUGCACUCCCUCUGAAAAAAACAGAUAAGCAGUUGGGGGGGGGAGGUUCUUGGAGCCAUCUUUGUCCAUGUAGACUCAGGUGGCCUCUGUAGUAAAAGACACUUAUCAACAGCUUUGGCUGGCACAUCCAUUGCACCCCUUACUGGGCAGAGAUAAUUUGACCAUUGUGGCACACAACACGGGUACCUUCACCUCAUGUGUGCUUGUUUUUGGCAUGUCGCUCCAUGAUGGAAAAAAUGGUGGGAUAAAAAUGAAUUAAAUAAGAAAUGAACAAACUUGAGUGAACGUAAAAUAGUUCCUGGGAUCCCAUCUGUUUUUUUCAGAAAUUGCUCUCCCUCUUCUCUGAAAAAACAAACAGAUGGGAUCACAGGAGCUAUUUUAGGUAUACUCAAGUUUAUUUCUUAUUUAAUUAUUUAAUUCAUUUUUAUCCCACCGUUUUUUCCAUCAUGGAACAUCAUCUUACAAGGUUUUGGUAUCAUGAGUUAACAGGGCUUAGAUUGGUGGGGGAAAUAUGAUUAGUUUUCUAAUUAGAGGAAAUCUUAUUACUAUUCUCGUUCCAAAUAUGCAAGUAGUUUUCAGCAGGGAACAAAUCUUUUAUGAAUGCAUAACUCAUUUUUUUUAUUUCAAACACCACUUAGACACUUUUAUGAGUCAAACGCCAUUAAAACAGCUCAGAUUCCCUCAUUUAUCUCUGCAUUUAUUUAUUUAUUUAAAAGUUUGCCUUUGCGAACUGGAAAUGAAAAAUCCUCCCUUAGCAUUUCUAAUCAUAUGAAGAAAGAGCUUAUCAGAUUCAAUAACAGAAUAGUUCCAUUGCUUUUCUGCAGAAAAAACACAAACAGGUCAUUUAAUUAUCAAAUUGGUGAGAAGCUUGUUGAGUAAUAAUGGAUAAAAUGUUAGAACAUAAAAUAGCUAGAGAAAGUUAUAAAUGCUAGCAGUUUUGUCUGUUUUGUAAAUGGAUAUACGGACCUUAUUUUAGAGAUGUGUUGCACUAAAAAUUAAUGAGAUAUACACAGUAAAGAAAAACCUCCAUUUUAUGUAAGUAAAGUUUGAGUCAUACUAUAGUGGUAUGGCCGCAGUAUAUCUGUGCUCAUAUUUUAUCACAGAAAUAGCAUGUGCACUUGCACAAACUACCUACAACAAGGAUCCAUCUCUCAUAUGAGUGUUAAGACUGGCAUGAGAGCCCCUGAUUCAUGUCCCAUCACAAUUGGAUAUAUGGUGAGAGGGCAGGUAAAAACAGGGGAGCAGCAUUGUUUAGAUGAUUCAUUUAUGGCCACUCCCUUCAGGACUGCAUAGAGGCCCAUACAACAUGGCAAUUACAAUUAAACGCAAAGUAUUGUUGUAUCACAUCACUUGACACCUGCACUGAUUCCUGACAUGCUAGAAGAGUUUUGUUAAGAUACCAUACAGGGGAUUCCUGCUUAGUGCCCAGAAUCCGAAGGUUAAUUAUUAUCUAGCUUCCUGGGGCCUACACCCGCCUUCAAGCUGUCAUGGAGAGAAGAGUCUAUUGAGACAUAAUUGAUUAUGCAGAGGGACCCAUAUUGAGAGGAACAGAAAAUGAAACCUAGGUCAGCAAAAUGUAUCUCCAGCCAUGUGUCCAUGGGAGACUAAAAGACUUGCAAAUUUGCACACCCUGAACAGAGUUGGGGUCAUAGCUGUCAACUUUCCCCUUUUUUAAAGGGAAAUUCCCUUAUUCCGAAUAGGAUUCCUCGCAAGAAAAGGGAAAAGUUGACAGCUAGGGUUGGGGUUCCUCAACCCUUCCUGCCCAAACCUCACAAUGUGACAUAUCAGGAUCACCACCAAUCAAGACUUCACCCUCCUUUAAUUUCUCUGAAAGGAAAAGCCAUACACACUAAAAACCUCCACUAGCGGGAGUUUGGACCUAAGAUAGAAGCAAUAGUUAAGGAUUUUGGUCCCUAUUUUCCCUUCAAGAAUAUAUAAUCCCCAUCAAGAUCUCUCUUGACCCUGAACAGGAAAGGUGCAUCAAUAAUUGCAGCCACAUCAAUAAUUACACUUCUUGAGGAGCUGAGAAAUCCUCCCCAAAGUAUCUGUGAGCCAGCAAGUGUGUCGGCCUAUCAUGGUAUGUUUCCUGCAGGCAGAUUAUAUUUGGCCAGAACUUCUGAAGUUGAUCAGAAACUCUGUGUCUUUUUAUAGGAUCACAUAGCCCUGCCCCACCCCAAUACUAUGACAUAAAAUAAAGGAAAUAAAAGUAUCCUCCCUCCCCAAAAAAAUACUUCAAUUGAUAUUUUAGUGAUACUAUUCUGAUAUGUGAGCUUCUCUGCCAGACUUUUUUUGCUAAAUCGCAUCUUACCAUGAGUUCACUGUGCAGUUUUAAGGCAGAUUUUCAGGGAAAUGCUUCUUUGAGCUUGGUAACAAAAAAGAAAGUCAGAAUUUCAUCAUGCAUUCAUCUUAAGGUUGUUGGACAUUCACCAAAGUGAAAGCCCACCUAUGUACACUAGAGUGGCACCAUACAUCUCCUGUUGACUAUGGGGCCCACUGUGUGCCCAACAAAGUGAAUGCUACUGUUUUAGCAUCUCAAAACAUAAAUACAAUCCUUAUAUGCGACUGCCUUCGCAUCUCUGAUACCGGUGAUUCUUUGAUCGGUUCUUCUUUCUUGCUUUAAGGGACAACAUCUUACCAUGAGGAAAGUAACUGAUCUGCCAACUCUUCCAUUUAGUAAUUAAAUUCAGAAUGUUUGUUUGAAAAGGAAGAAUGAGCCAAGUGGUUUUGUGGCUGAUAAUAUACAUGAGAGAAAGACAGAUGGCAUGAUGAGCCAAUGAUGGGAAAACAUGGAGGUGAGAGAAAACUGCAGUCAUUGGAGAGAUGAAGACUGACAUGUCCAUUACCAAAGUCUGGGCUAGUUUUGUCAGUAUGAAGAUUUAGUAUGACAAAUGAGGGGGUGGGGGUAGAAAAAUGGACCUGACUUUAAAAUGCAGCUAUCUGAGGCAAAGAAUAUAAACCUUUAAAAAUUGCUAUAACACAAUGAAGUCACUAAGCUAAAUGCUGCAGGACCAGCAUACGCCAGGGAUGUGGAAUCUGUUGUCUUCCAGAUGUUAUCAGAUGCCAGCUCCCAUCAGUCCCAGCCAGCGCAGCUUGCAGUCAGGGAUGACAGGAGAUGGAGUCCAGCAUUCAUCUGAAAGGCCACAGGUUACUCACGCCUGCUUUAAUUUGUAGAUACUGAUGGUGUCUGAAGCACCUGUUGACACUGGACUGAACCCUAACAGUCUAAUCCUAACCAUGUCUGGGGUGCGGGUGGCACUGUGGGUUAAACCACAGAGCCUAGGACUUGCCGAUCAGAAGGUCGGCGGUUCAAAUCCCCAUGACAUGGUGAGCUCCCGUUGCUCGGUCCCUGCUCCUGCCAACCUAGCAGUUUGAAAGCACGUCAAAGUGCAAGUAGAUAAAUAGGUACCGCUCCAGCAGGAAGGUAUAUGGCGUUUCCGUGUGCUGCUCUGGUUCGCCAGAAGCGGCUUAGUCAUGCUGGCCACAUGACCCGAAAGCUGUACACCAGCUCCCUUUGUCCCAGUUAAGAGUAAUCCUAUAUGUAUUUACUUGGUAGUCUCAUGGAACUCAGUGAGACUUACUUAUGAGUAGACAUGGUUGGGAUUAAGCUGUUAGCUGAGAUCUAGCCUGUUAUUCAGGUUGGGAUAGCAGCUCUUUAGACUAGCUUCAGACACUAUUUCAGGGGUAGAUAAGAUGAUGAUGUAAGCUGCAUGACCCUCUGCAACAUCAAGAGUUCUUGGGUCCUCUAUUCUAAGGUAUGUGGGCUUGUAAAUGAAACCAGGACUCUAGAUCCUGACAGGAAGACUUCAUAGUUCAAUCAUGACCUGUGUAGGGCACAAGAGGAUGGGAUUUCAUGCUUAUUUAGGCAUAUAAAAUAGAGCUAAACGGUGCUUGAUUGUGAAGACAAGCCUUUUCUGAAGCUUGUAGUCACAAACUUAAGAAAUAUUGCUAAGUUCCUUAAAUAUUUGAUCAGCCCAUUACACCUUGGUGGGGGGGAAACCCCCACAUUACUACUGAGACAGAUAACGGCAAUAUAUUUUGGUUUAAUUAUCACAGAGCAUAGAAGUCUCUUUAAGAAAUGUCAGUGACCCUAAAGAAAUGAUAUCAAUUCAACACGUAGGAUGAUAUCCAGCAGUGUUUCUCUGCGGGGAGCUAUCAGAAAGGAAAGAGCUAAUGUGCUUAUAUCACUUGCCUAGUGUGAGCCAUUUGCACAUACCGUAUUUUUCGCCCUAUAGGACACACUUUUCCCCCUUCAACGUGGUUUGGAGGCUGGAGCCCGCUUCUCCCCACCCCCAGCCCCACAAGCUCCCAGAGCGAUUGCGAAGCUGCCCGCAGCUUCAGGAUCGCUCUGGGACCUGUUCUGGGGGCUGGGGACAGGGGAAGCCCUCCCCCAACCCCGCAAGCUCCCAGAGCGAUGCCGAAGCUGCCCGCAGCUUCGGGAUCGCUCUGGGACCCAUUCUGGGGGAGGGGGAAGCUUGGGCUUCCCCAGCCCCGCAAGCUCCCAGAGCGAUAGCUUGGGCUUCCCCCUCCCCCAGCCCCGUAUGAUCCCAGAGCGGGCUUCGCGCAGCUCUCCGCAAGCUGUGGGAGCCCGGCGCGACUUCGCGCUGGCCUCCAACGUCUUGCGGAGAGCUGCCUGUUCUGGGGGCUGGGGUGGGGGAAGCUCGGACUUCCCUGCCCCAGCCCUGUGCCUGGGGGGGGGGGAAAUAAUUCCCCCCCCUUUAUUUUCCCCCCCUCCAAUCUAGGUGCGUCCUAUGGGCCGGUGCGUCCUAUAGGGCGAAAAAUACGGUAUACAGUAACUCUCUGGAAUACAGGCAGUAGGAACAUACAGGUCCUAUGAAAGUCAUUUAAAUGAAAACCCUCGUUUGCUGUGUGAUUCACCAUGGACACCAAGACAUCCCUCCACACCUUACAAUUUCUCCCAUAUGUGCAUACAAAUGCUUUGUUUUGAUUUGUAGCCUAAAGAAGAUAUCAUAAAUGACAAACUGGAACCGUGUGUAUAUAUUUUAUAGAUUAGGAAUGUCAGAUUUAAUAGUGGGAUUUGAUGUACACAUUCCUGAGGCUCUGUUCGACAGUAAUGCAAUUAAACAUUGCAACAAAGUAGUAAAGUUUUACAGGCAGUAGCAAAUAAAUUUCCUUUUUAAAGGCCAAAGGCAUUGCAGGGAGAAAUUCAGUUCUGAAAACAAGUUUGGUUUACCUGAUGGUUAGGAAUUUGGCAAUGUUAUUUUCUUUAGGAAGAGAAUGCUCACUUUUGAGCAGAACAGGAUGGGAAAACAGAAAUUAAAUUAGAGCAGGGUUUCCAAACUUGGGUCUCCAGCUGCUUUUGGACUGCAACUCCCACAAUCCCUAGCUAGCAAGACCAGUGGUCAGGGAUGGUGGGAAUUGUAGUCCAAAAACAACUGGAGACCCAAGUUUGGGAAAUCCUGAAUUAAGAGUAUUGUAGUGGUUUGUUAAUAUUAGGAAUAUUUCUAAAUCACAAUGAACAUCACAGUAGUACCACAGUGGGAAGAGCACAGAGAGAAGAAAUGCCUUGGUGCAUCUGCAGCAGCACAACUGGACACCUUCAUCCGCUCCAGCUGGAACAAAACAUGUCUCUGUCUCAUAUCGGUCUCUACAGCCACAGCAGGCACUGCAACUGCCCAACAGUUUGACUUUACCCCCAAAGGUGCACUCCUCCAUUGUCUCCUGAAACAGAUGGAUGCCAACAGUGAUACUGUAAACAGCAGGGGUCAGCAAACUUUUUCAGCAGGGGGCCGGUCCACUGUCCCUCAGACCUUGUGGGGGGCCGGACUAUAUUUUGGGGGGGAAAUGAAUGAAUUCCUAUGCCCCACAAAUAAUCCAGAGAUGCACUUUAAAUAAAAGCACACAUUCUGCUCAUGUGAAAACACCAGGCAGGCCCCACAAAUAACCCAGAGAUGCAUUUUAAAUAAAAGGACACAUUCUACUCAUUUAAAAACACGCUGAUUCCCGGACUGUCCACGGGCCGGAUUUAGAAGGCGAUUGGGCCAGAUCCAGCCCCCGGGCCUUAGUUUGCCUACCCAUGGUAUACAGCAACAAAAUAAAACAAGUAAGGACUCAUCCUUCUAGGAAAGCCUGAAAAACAAAUAAGUUUUUAGUAUCUGAUGAAAUGCACACAGCGCUGCAGCCUGUCAAUGAAUUUCGACAGGUAGUGCGUUCCACAGGGCAGGUGUUACUGUCUAGUCCAAGCUACCAUGGAGCAAACCUCCAGCACAUGUGGCACCCUCUAGAAGGGCCCUUCUAGGUGUCCACAGUUAUCGACAGGUAUAUAGGGAAUAUCCUCCUCCCAAGUUGUCUUGCUAACUGUAAACCUUAAAUUUGGUCUCAAAGCAUAUUGGCAGCUCAUUCAUCUUGUUUCAGCCAUAAUUCACAAUUGUUGAUGGUUCCAGGCUUGUUCACCUGUAUUCUCCUUUUGUGCGUAAGUCAGAGGGAGAGCUGCCUUAUACAGAACCAGACUACUGGUCUAUGUAACUCAGAGCAAGAUUUCAGACAAGGGCCUCUCCCAGUCCUACCAGGAGAUGCCAGGACCUGAACCUGGAACCUUCUGCAUGCAAAGCAGAUGAUCUGCUGCUGAGCUGCAGCCCCUCCCCAGCACUCAGUCAGUUUCAUAGACUUCUGUCUCUAUCGCCUUAGUAAUUCCUCCAUGUUUCAACAUGUCCAUUAUAGAAGUGACAGUCCUGUGACAGCUCUGACCGCUCUCAAUUAAAAAUGACAUUGAUGGAGUUCUUCUAUAACUGAAUGUGUCUUUCUUAUUAUAUCAAUGUAUAUUUUCAUAAAGCGUGUUAAAAAGUGACAUAGUCAUUGAUGGAGGCAGCAGGAAAAAGCCAGUCCACAAAGAUUUCUCUCACCAGAGCAACUGUGUGUCAUGUUUUCUGAAUGCAUAAUACAUAACAGUACUAUUUUGGCAAACAGUAUUAUUUUAGCAAAUAAUAAAUACAAAGCUAUAGUAUUAAUAAUAUGACUUCGUGCUACCUGAAUUCUACCUGAAAUAUUGCCUGCCCCUGUUUGGACCUUCAUUUGUCUAAAUUCUCUGAAUUUUACUGGUUUUACAGUAUUGUUGUUGUUGUUUAGUCAUUUCCGACUCUUCGUGACCCCAUGGACCAGAACACACCAGGCACUCCUGUCUUCCACUGCCUCCCACAGUUUGGUCAAACUCAUGCUGGUAGCUUCGAGAACACUAUCCAACCAUCUCGUCCUCUGUCGUCCCCUUCUCCUUGUGCCCUCCAUCUUUCCCAACAUCAGGGUCUUUUCCAGGGAGUCUUCUCUUCUCAUGAGGUGGCCAAAGUAUUGGAGCCUCAGCUUCAUGAUCUGGCCUUCCAAUGAGCACUCAGGGCUGAUUUCCUUAAGAAUGGAUAGGUUUGAUCUUCUUGCAGUCCAUGGGACUCUCAAGAGUCUCCUCCAGCACCAUAAUUCAAAAGCAUCAAUUCUUCGGCGAUCAGCCUUCUUUAUGGUCCAGCUCUCACUUCCAUACAUCACUACUGGGAAAACCAUAGCUUGAACUAUACGGACCUUUGUUGGCAAGGUGAUGUCUCUGCUUUUUAAGAUGCUGUCCAGGUUUGUCAUUGGUUUUACAGUGUACUUUGUUUUAAUUGUGUUCUUUAUUUUUUAAGUUGCACACUGCUUAGAUUUAUUAAAAAAUAUCUCUAACAGUAAUUGACUUAUAAAUGCUUUAAUUAUACAAACCACCAAAACUUAGAAACAAGGUAAAAUACCAAAAAUAUUAAUAUUAUUAGCAUUUUCACAUCCAUGUGUUAAAUCAAACUGUAACCCUCCAGAUGUUGUUGUUUAUUAAUGUAAGUGCUGCGUAAUGCCAAAUUAGGCUACAAAGUAGUUUACAAGUAGUGCUUCUUCAGCAUUGUUGUUGGACUACAACUCCCAUCUUCCAUGGCUAUUGGCCAUGGUGACUGGAGGUUUCCCACCUGCAGUUUAAGUUACAUGGUGCCUACUAUAAAGCCCCAUUUCUUCUACUUCACAAGGGUUAAUAUCUAAUUGCUAAUUCUUUUACUAUCAAGACUGUCUUUUCGUAAUCAUAGGAGAAGAAUAUAGAGCCUAUUUUCUGUCAUCACAAAAACAGGACAGUUGUUCCACCUGCUUUUCACUGGAAGGCCUAUCUUCUGUUCUGAUCCUUUAGGAUUCCCCCCUAAAAAUGAAUGUAUUAGGGUGUGCUACUCUUAAACAGGGUUUUAGAGGUGGGUUGUGCCACUGACACUAUGGAAAGGGGUUCAAGUCCCUGCAUCCCAGGACCUUGGGAUCCCUAGUAAUGAAAAGGUUUGUUUCAGAGUAUUGUGUACCUGGCUUGGUGCCCCUGACCUAUAGGAAGAGGAUUUUAACUGCUGGACACUUCUCUGAAACAUAAGUAAACUUCAGGAGUACCUGAAGAUUGACUACCACUGCUUCUACAUCUGUCCAUCUUUUAGAGGCAGCAGAAACAUGAAUUAUUAAAUAUUAACUUCCUCAUAAAGGAACAGAAUAAAAAUUAAAAGCCAAUUCAUUGCCAGUAAAAAAAAAGUGACUAUCGUUUAUUAGUAGAAGUUUCGUGGUAUAGGGUAUUUUAUUAAUUGACUCAGACCUGGAAAGGCGAUUGCAGCCUGGGGAAGAUUGCAAGCAUAAUUGCAGUAAUAAUUAGUUUCAAAGACUUUCACUACUGAGCUGAACAGUAAGUUGUGUUGUUUAAUAGUCUGAUGGCAAAUAUACAUAACAACAAUGAUCUUCCAACUCAGAUGUUCAUAGUACUUGGAACUGUGAAAAAUAUCCCUGAACAAGAAGAAAAAUCCACAUUCUGCAUUCAAAGUAUCCCAAAAUUUUGUGCCAAUGAAAACUAAUAAAUUAUGUGAUCUGAAUUAGACAUACUAUUGAGCAUAUUUUUGUUUUGAUUUAUUUGCAUAAUUGAUUGUGCUUCCAUGAAGAAGGGUAUAACAUGUUCCACAGAAGAUCAACAGUAUCAUCUAAAGCCUCAGACACUCAGGAUGCCUGCUGACCACUACCUGAAUAAACCAAUAGCCUUGGUUUUAUCUCCAAUCCCCCUUUCCAAUUUAAUUCCUUCUCCUCUCUCCCUCUCUCCCACACAGUAGUCUAACUGGUCUGAACUUUUAUGAUGGAAGUUCAAAACCAUUAAGAAGUUAGGCUCAUCAUUUAAAUACAUACUGUACUAGGUACCUGAACUACGUAGACCAGGGAUGCCACUGAUUCAUAAAACACUUUUACUGGCAUCAGAUUCCCAUAAAUGUGUAGGGCAUCACAUCACCUUUGUCUCCUUCAGAACCAUACAAUUUAGGUGACCACAGAAGUUCUGCAAGAGGCUAGUAUUCUCAGGCCAUCUUUUCUGCAAAGAACUCUGCACAUUCUCUAAAACCCAAGACUCUACAGAAGUAGCUAAAUUGUUACUAGGAGAGUUAGAUUGACUCUUUGAUUUGAUUUUAUAUUCUGUUUGUGUGAUUUGUUUCCUCCUUUCCCCCAAAUAAAUGUCAUAUAUACUGAAAUUUCACUGUUCUGAAAAAGUGUUCUGGAAUUUUUCCUUAAAAUAUUCCCCAGAUGCUAUGCUGCAUAGUUCUUAAACAACUACUUGUGUUCUAAUGGAAUUUCACAAGUUUUGUUUAAAGCCUGAAUUCUCAGGCUUUGGGAAAGUAAAUCUACAGCUCCUUUGAUUUUUUUCCAGAGGUAGGCUGGAUGGAGGGAUCCUUGGCAGUUUGGCUUAGAAACCCCUUCCCCAACAACUGGAGUGCUUUUGUCAUGCUAAACUUAAUCUGACUGGUGACACUUUAUCUUGAUAGUAGGGACAAAAAGGCAAGUCCACCAGGAGAAAACAAUUCCCACCACCACCCCAGCAAGCGACCAGAAACAAAGAGUAAAAAGCAGAGCAAAGCACCAAAUAAGCAAUUGUAGCUGGCUAGAAGCUUAGUCACUGAUGCAUUGCGACUAAAUGUUUUUGAACCCAUCUCUGCAUCCACAAGACUACAAGCCUGGAUAGUAGAAAACCCUGUAUCCAAUACAAAUACCACAUUUGCAAUUGUCAAAUUAAAGUUUAAGGAAGACUCCUCGUGUUUAAUAAUUUAAUUCAUUCAAUCCUCUCAGUAAUGCAGGGAUCCAAAGCAAGAGAGGGUUUAAAAAAAAAUACUAUUUGAAACAAAAAAAACUACCUGUUUUAAAAGCUGUUUUUAAUACUGUACCUGAUAAACCCAAAUCCUAAGGUUUCCAACAUUGACUGAAUGCAAUAUUAUUUGCAUUAUUAUGUAAAUGUUUAAAAACCUUGGUAAGCAUCCUUCCCCCUGUUUUUGCAAAAAAAGUGAAGCAGAAAAUUUGCAGCCUUGUUGCCUGGGUAGUUCAGUAACCGCUGAUGAGCACAGCCAUUAAAAAGUAAAUAAAAUAAAAAGAUUCCAACACUAUUGCAAAUCAGUUCUUGGUACUUUUAUUCCUCAAGAGGCAGCCGAGCUGCUUAUUCCAACUAGAGAACAAAAGAAAUGGAGGUAUUGCAUAUUCUCUUGCUGCAAACAACUUACUUAACAGCCCAGGGGGAGAGAAAGGAAAUAUCCUUUUAUAGCUCUGUUCCACUGAUAGCUGUUUCCCUUCCAUUUGACAGCAACAACCGUUCCUUAGAACAGUGUUUUUCAACCACUGUUCCACGGCACACUAGAUUCGAAAGAUUUUAAAAAAAUAAUCGAAUUUUCGCCCACUAGGCGGGCGCCGGACUGUGUCCUGGGUAUGGGGGGGGUUUGACCCCACCCUCGGCCAGCAGGGGCACCGAUUGGCGCUUCUCAGGGGGACACCCUCCAUUUUUCUGAUGUCCGGGCUGUGAUUGGUCCAGACUCCAGCCUGGACCUAUCACAGUAGGACAUCAUCUUCCGACUUCCUUCCCGCCCGAGCACAGUGUGCGCAGCAGCGGAGAGAAGAAGACGUCGAGACUCGAGUCACCAGGAGGACCGGAGAAGUUGUCAUUUUAUUUCUCUUCAGUCUCCACUGAAUGCCUUGACUGGGUUAGGGACCCUUAUAGCUCAGCAUCAGUUGGUGGAAAGGACAUGACUUUACAGGAGCAGGAGGAACUAACUGAACUGAGACAAAAUCGUGGUUUCAAGCUAAGAUUUGCUGAUCUACCUUUGGACAGUUUUUGGUUGGAUACUGCCAAGGAGUUCCCCCUCUGGCAAACAAAGCUAUUUUGACAUUGCUCCCAUUUUCCACUACAUAUCUGUGUGAGAUGAGCUUUUCAAGCAUGAUUGCUAUAAAAACUAAAUACAGAGAGAGACUGAGAGUUGUUGACGAAGAGCUAUGUGUGUGUCUUUCUUUGAUUCCAGCCAGAAUAUCAGCUUUGUGUUCAGCCAAACAGGCCCAGGUUGCGCACUGAAUAAAGUAUUUUUCAUAUUUCUGUUUACUUACUAUUUCAUAAUAAAGUAAUUAUAAAAUACUUUCUUUGUGUUUAUUUGAUUCCUAUUCAAGAGAAUUACUUUAUAUAUAGUCAAUAUAGGCACAGAGUUAAAUUUUUUAACAUUUUCUAAUGGUGGUGUGCCUUGUGAUUUUUUUCAUGAAACAAGUGUGCCUUUGCCCAAAAAAGGUUGAAAAACACUGCCUUAGAACAUUACAGAACUAAGGAUAAAAUCUCAAAUGAGACAUGGCACAAAAUAGCAGCUUACCCCACAUCUCAACUUUGUUUUAUAGGUGAGCUGUGCUGCAGUGAGCACAAGUUCUAUGGCUCUAAUGUUGUUGUACCUCAGCUCCCAGCAUCCCUAGCCACUGGCCAUGCUGGCCUGGACUGAUGGGAAUUGGAGUCCAGUGACAUCAGGGCUAAAUGGAGGGGCCAUGGCUCAGUGGCAGACCAUCUCCUUUGCAUUCAGAAGGUCCCAGGUUCAUCCCCUGGCAUCUCUAGGUAAGGCUGGAAGAAAAUCCCUGUCUGAAACUAUGGAGAGCUGCUGCCAGUCAUUGUAGACAAUAUGAGAUGGAAGGACCAGUGGGUAUGACUCAGGGAAAGGCAGCUUUGUAUUGCUACAGUUCCACCUUUAACAUGGCACAAAAUGGGCUUCAUCCAGAAAAAAACAUGUCAUGCUUAAAUCUCAUUGGAAUGUGCGAGACCCAUUAGUCAUGAUGGUUGAUUGAUGGGUUCAUUUCAAGGACAUAAUCAUGAAAACCUUUUGCUAGAUUUGAAUUGAUAAUCCCAGUGGCAGCCACCUCUACCUAUGUACCUGUUCUCUUUCUAGAGUUCUCAGAUCCCCACCUGCUGAAUUUAACAGCGAGGGGUCCACUAGCUUUCAUCAGAACGUUUGGAUCCUUCACCACCACCCCAGGGCAUAGACUAAUAAUGCUAUUCAUCACUACGAUGGGGGAAAUCAGUGAAAAUCAGGUGCCUCGCCUCGCACAAAUGGAAGCACUUUCUACUAAUGCAAAUCAUUAAUGGAUACAACCCAAAAACAUUUUGUUUUUUGCUUAAACCCCCACCCCCAACUUUAUCUACAUUGUUAUCUUAAGGAUUCUGAAACGCACCUUAACAGGCAUUAUGCAAACUUCAAAAUAAAUGUACUUUAUAAAGCUGCUUGAGUAAUUCCACCUUGCUGUUUCUUGUCUUUUUAGAGUGUUAUAGAAAAUUAAGGUCUUAGCCAUUUCCCUGCUGGCCUCCAUAAUUAUUACAAGCUUUUCUUAUUUUAAUUCCCCUUGUCUUACUGCUAGAGGCCUUUGUCACCUGCUAGAAGGAGUGAGGAGGGUCAGCUGAGAGUUCAUUCAGUUAUCACGUCUGUUUCAUUAUGCUUCUUUAGUCUGAAAGCAUUCAGGAGUUCUGUCUGUAUAUUUGUUAUAAUUAUCGUCCUGACAACAUCUUCUUGGUGCAAGGGCUAAGGCAGCCUCUUCAGAAAAUGUCUCCAAGGCAGCUUUGCCUCACAGGAAGCCCUCGCUAAUUAAAAAGUGACAGUCUUCUCCAUCUCCCUGAAAGCAGCUUGUGUCUCAUCCCCCGCUUCCAUUCUCUUCUUUUAGCUCGUUCCAGAUAAUUGAAAAAUUAAUUGAACUUAUUAAAAAAUAAAACAUCUGGGUUACGGGUCAGGAAUUGCAGCAGCCUUUGUAAGUGAUCAUUACAGCACUCAACUGCACUUAAAAAUAGUAACAUCUACUUCUCUUAGAUCAUUAGGCCCCUUUAGUGGUCAGGAGAAACCUUUGAGUAUACAAUAAAUUGUGGCCCAGCAAACCUGUUGAAACCAUUGAAUGAUUUGCAGGGUUGCACGAAGGACACCAUGGUUGGAGGGAGAGGGCGGCCCUCCCACGAGAUCUCAGGGACUCUUCAUCUUUCAAAGCCUAGUGAGAUCUUGGGGAGGGACAGGCCGGUGGACACACCACCAUUUUAAGAGGACAUGUCACCAUUCCACCUAGGCUUCAGGAUAUAGAUAAUAAGGGGGACAUCCCUUUAAGGGGUCCUGGAGGGUAAACAGCUCUUGGCCUUAGUUCAGGGGGACUGUGCUUGCCAGUCGCCAUCUCAAGUCAUCAGUGGUCGCAGUCUCAGUGGUCUUGCACCACACUGGAUCCUCAGUGCUGGUUAACUCCCUAUACAAUGCCCCAGCAGGUGUGUGAAGAUGAAGGUCAGACUUCAAGACUGCAAUUAAUCGCAUAGCUAUAAAAGCUUGUUACAUUUGUUUAUUUUGAAGUAUGUAAAAAGGGUAAUUUGAAAAACCUUCCAAGUUUUGCUUGCUAUUUUGAGUUGAAAGUUACAGUAACACUCACCAGUGGGGAUGAAGACAGGUGAUAACUGACCUUGUCAGUUGGAAAUAACUUUGUCUCUUUCUUGGAACGUUUAACUUGCAGAUACAGUCAAUUACCUUAUGGUAAUGGUUGCUUCAAGGAUUUUAUUGCUUGGCUCCCUUGGAACGAAACACAUAUAUUAGCCUAAUUUAGGAGUGCUUUGUCUGAAGUUCCCGUGCUCUCUGUGUGCAGAAUUAUUGCAGCCUUAACUUCUUAUUCAGACUGCAAAUUCACUACAAUUCCUUUUUUAAAAAGGAAGGAAGGAAGGAAGGAAGGAAGGAAGGAAGGAAGGAAGGAAGGAAGGAAGAAAGAAAGAAAGAAAGAAAGAAAGAAAGAAAGAAAGAAAGAAAGAAAGAAAGGAAACUGAGUGGAUUUCUUCAUUGAAACAAGAACUGCUGCACUUAUCACAUCACUCUGAAAUAGUGUUCAUUCUUUCUGAAAGUGAAGACUACUCAUCAACAAAAUAAAGACAGAGAAGGUUACUUGGAAACAUUAACUGUAGGUAUCCUACAGUAGACCUCUAAUGUCUUCACUUACGGCUAUUAGAAAACAUUCGUAUUUCAGAUUUUGUAGCUUUAGGGAACACUUCUAAGGAACACCAACAAGCCUGACAGUCAUGAAACUCCUGCUUAUGCAGGGUGUGGGACUGGGCCUGUUGGGCCUCACUGUGAGGAUGAACUUUAGGUUCUAUCCCCAACAUCUCCAGGGAUUGGGAAAGACUCUUAUCUGAAACACUGGAGAGAGACUGCCAGUCAGUGUCAGUAAUACUGAGCUAGAUGGACCAACAGUCUGACUAAGGCAGUUUCCUAUGUUGCUGCUUUCCCUGUUCCUGGAGGGGAAGACCAGCAAUAGGAUGCAAAUUGUAUUUCAAGAAAACAUAUAUGCCAUUGCCAAUCAUCUCACUGGUAAUAGCUUCUGAGGAAAAUGUUUCUGGGCUUUCCAGAACCCAGUUUGAAACCAUUAUCCUAGAAGAAAUCUGACUCAUGUUGAGGGAAGAAAAUGGUGAGGUAAAAGUAGAAAUAUUACAACAACAUGUCCUAUUGUCCUUAAUAAUGGAAUAUAUUUAUAAUGAAAUGAUUUUAGAAUGUUGUAUUAUUUUACUCUUGUUAGCCGCUCUGAGCCCGGCUUCGGCUGGGGAGGGCGGGAUAUAAAUAAAAGUUUAUUGUUGUUGUUGUUGUUAAUGGAUGCCAGAUAUUCAAUUGGUAUUUCUCUGCUGGCGGAAGGCAUCAGUCAGCAAAAUGAGAAGGGAGGCAAUUUUCUGAUAUUGUCUUUCCUUCUUGCAGUCCCCCAGCAUCGAAAUCUUCUCCCAAAUCUUGGGGGAUCCUCUAAAGGGUAUCGGGGGGUGGGGGUGGGCAGCAGUUACCAAAAAUGGCCUUUCUUCCUGUUCAACUGAUGGACACCUUCCAUCAGUUAAGGAACACCAGAUGGAUACACCCACAAUGACCAAGGCCUGGUCCUACAGUUCACAUGCAGCAGAAUGAGGUGGGAAAACAGUGGUGGAAUUCUGAAAUGAGAGAAUAGGAUGCACCACUUUGGACUGCAGGUGUGGGGGAUAAAUCACUUUUUAAAACACUCCUCUAGGGUUCUGUAAAUAUCACUUUAUUCCAGCUCCCAUAAUCCCCAAUCUGCAUGGCUAAUGGUUGGGGAUGAUGGAGGUUGUAGUCUGACAAUCUCUGGAAGACACCAGGUUAGGGAAGGUUGGACUGAAAUGUGGACAUGCUCCAUAGUUCCUGUUUACAUGGUUGAGGCAGACCAGAGUCAAACUAAACAGGUUUGCCUCUGUCGUAGUAACAUUGGCUCUUAAUUUUACAGCCAUUAGGAAGUAUGCUGAUCACUACGAAUUACAGAGUUUACAAAAUAAUGAGUCUAGAGAACACUGACAGUAAACUCAAAGGAUUUAUUUUCUUACUAGGAGGGGCAGAGGAAUUUACAUUUGGGUUAAUCAUUAUGAUAAGUGCAACAUUUCUGGAGGCUUUGCAAAAAUCAAUGGCUACUGUUCAUUUUAUCUGUCUGGAUGAAAUGGUCACAGCAGCAAUUGAAUUAGAAGGAAAGCAAUUAUUAAGGAUCAGAGUACAUAUAAUUUGUAUCAGUACAAGAUGCUUCUUUACCUGAAGUCCAAGGAAAGGAAGCAAAAAACAAAAAGGAAUGGGAGGAAUUACUGCAGAAGAAAGAGAAAACAUUUGGCAAAGUAUGUGGAACAUCAGUGAAUAUGUGGAACUCCAAGCCAAGGUUGCGCUCGGUUAUGUUGCAAUCCUCUGCAUGUUUACCCAGAAGUAAAUCCUACUGUGUUCAAUAGGGCUUACUCCCAUGCAAGUGCAUAGGACUAAAGCCUUGCAGAGCACUCCUUGGCAUAUUUAUGCAGUAGUAAGCUCUACUGCAGGCAUAGGCAAACUCAGCCCUCCAGAUGUUUUGAGACUACAAUUCCCAUCAUCCCUGGCCACUGGUCCUGUUAGCUAGGGAUGAUGGGAGUUGUAGUCCCAAAACAUCUGGAGGGCUGAGUUUUCCUAUGCCUGCUCUACUGUGUCCAGUAGGGCUUAUUGAUUUUAAUCAGGCAGCCCUCAUUUCUGUUAGAGGGCAUUACUGAAGCAAUAAAUUAUGAUGGCUUACUGUUUCAUACAUUCCAUCCCUAUUCCGCGUUUGUCUGAAGAGACCACAAGAACUGAAUAUAUAACAACUGCCUGUUUUCCCCCUAAUAAAAAGAGCACGUGCUACAUCUUGCUGGAAAAAUAAAAAUAAAAGAAACCACUGGGUUGGAUUUAACUUGAUUUCAAUGCACCUACUCCAGGUAGGACUAAGCCUGGACACAGCCCAAAAGCUGUAUCUUGAUUCUUUUUCAAAAUGCAAAUUGAAGUCUUGCUUCAAAUUUAGAAAGGUGCUGGAAAAUUUGAGGAAAUAUAGUUAACUAACAAAUAUAUCCUGUGAUCUCUUCUUCUUCUUUUAGUUAAAAAAAAAAAUUGAGGUGCCAGUACUCAUACCUUGCUACAAGUGCUGUGGAUGCCGGCACAAAAUGGCUGCCAUGGGCAGACAAAAACAGAAGAAGAAGUGGUGGAAUUUUGCGCCAGUGAGUCCCAUCCCAUUCAGGGUCAACUUGUUUUUAAUACAGAAUUUUAAAUUGUAACCCAGCCAGGGACCUGCUGGUGAAGGGUGGGUACUAUUACUACUACAGUACUAAUAUUAUUUCAUUAUCACAUGCAUUUAUUUGUCUUAAUUGACAGAGCUAUUUCAACAACAUUUCACUGAAAAGGGUGCAUGUGAGUAACUGACACAAAACAUGUCAAAGGUUUUCCCCUGAAUCUAUGCAACUUUCCACUGGAACCAGUGGAAUGUAGAUGCCUGCUCUUCAUCCAUAUCACAGGUCCACAUUUUCCCUUUUCCUAACAUUAGUCUUGCAACGACUGAAGAGUGGCAAUUUCCCUGCGGAAAAAAAUGUUAUGAUAGAAUUAUUCUGAGGUGUUCCCUUAAGAGAAGCCACAGCAAGAGAAAAAUGGCAAAGAGAAGUGGCAAUUUAGAAGCAACUUCCAGUAGGACCACAACAUGUCUAGGACUAAAACAUUUUUAUCGUACUUUUAUUGUACUUUUGGGGUUGAAUGUUUGGAGGAGGUGUGUGGGCGUUUGGAAGCAAUUCCCUGCUAAGAGGCAGAAGAAGCUUGUGUUGCAGAAGAGAUUUAAAAAUACUUCAAUAGAGAAUUGUUUUCACACCAUUAAAAGAAAGAAUGAAUUAUGGAUGUUUAUUUACAUUUAUAUUGUGUUUUUCUUGCAUAUUGUUCUUGCUUUGCAGAUAAUGAACAAUUCUAUACAUAUGUUUUCUAGCCGAGAACAGACUACCAUCCGUGAUUAGAACUGCCGCUGUCAUUUGUAAAGCUGAAAAAGGAAGUUAUUCAUUGAAAUCCCCAAACUAUAGACAACCCCUCCAAGUCUUUUAACAGCCUGGGACCAGUUUACCUGAGAGAUUGCCCCUGCCUAUUCACAGUCUUUGCCAUAUUAAACACCUGCUGGAAACUUUGUUUCAUCAAGUCUUCCCAGUCAUAUAAUUUAGUAAUGUACAUUUGCUUUCAGAAGUUUUAGCUGGUUUUAUAUUGUGCUUUACAGCUACAGUGGUACCUCGGGUUAAGUACUUAAUUCGUUCCGGAGGUCCGUUCUUAACCUGAAACUGUUCUUAACCUGAAGCACCACUUUAGCUAAUGGGGCCUCCUGCUGCUGCUGCGCUGCCGGAGCACGAUUUCUGUUCUUAUCCUGAAGCAAAGUUCUUAACCUGAAGCACUAUUUCUGGGUUAGCGGAGUCUGUAACCUGAAGCGUAUGUAACCUGAAGCGUAUGUAAACAGAGGUACCACUGUAAUUAUUUUAUGUACACUCUCUUUUUUAAAAAGGUGUUGCUGAUUUUUAUCUUUUUUGAUAAUUUUCUUAUGUGCACCACUUAGAGAUUUUUCUGCGUACGUGAUCUAUAUAUAUUUUCUAAGUAGAAUCAUAGAAUCAUAGACUCAUAGAGCUGAAAGAGACCACAAGGGCCAUCGAGUCCAACCCCCUGCCAAGCAGGAAACACCAUCAGAGCACUCCUGACAUAUGGUUGUCAAGCCUCUGCUUAAAGACCUCCAAAGAAGGAGACUCCACCACACUCCUUGGCAGCAAAUUCCACUGUCGAACAGCUCUUACUGUCAGGAAGUUCUUCCUAAUGUUUAGGUGGAAUCUUCUUUCUUGUAGUUUGGAUCCAUUGCUCCGUGUCCGCUUCUCUGGAGCAGCAGAAAACAACCUUUCUCCCUCCUCUAUUUGACAUCCUUUUAUAUAUUUGAACAUGGCUAUCAUAUCACCCCUUAACCUCCUCUUCUCCAGGCUAAACAUGCCCAGCUCCCUUAGCCGUUCCUCAUAAGGCAUCGUUUCCAGGCCUUUGACCAUUUUGGUUGCCCUCCUCUGGACACGUUCCAGUUUGUCAGUGUCCUUCUUGAACUGUGGUGCCCAGAACUGGACACAGUACUCCAGGUGAGGUCUGACCAGAGCAGAAUACAGUGGCACUAUUACUUCCCUUGAUCUAGAUGCUAUACUCCUAUUGAUGCAGCCCAGAAUUGCAUUGGCUUUUUUAGCUGCCGCAUCACACUGUUGGCUCAUGUCAAGUUUGUGGUCAACCAAGACUCCUAGAUCCUUUUCACAUGUACUGCUCUCAAGCCCAGGUGUCACCCAUCUUGUAUUUGUGCCUCUCAUUUUUUUUGCCCAAGUGCAAUACUUUACAUUUCUCCCUGUUAAAAUUCAUCUUGUUUGUUUUUGCCCAGUUCUCUAAUCUGUCAAGGUCAUUUUGAAGUGUGAUCCCGUCCUCUGGGGUGUUAGCCACCCCUCCCAGUUUGGUGUCAUCUGCAAAUUUGAUCAGGAUGCCCUUGAGUCCAUCAUCCAAGUCGUUGAUAAAGAUGUUGAAUAAGACCGGGCCCAAGACAGAACCCUGUGGCACCCCACUAGUCACUCUUCUCCAGGAUGAAGAGGAACUUUGCUCUCACACUUAGAAGCAAUGGCUCUCGAUUACAUUUUUCUCCUCUUGUCCUGGGCUUUCAAUCCCUGAUCAGUUCUGCUGCCUGUAAAGCAUAGGGUAAUUGAUUUAAUUUGGAAGAACAUUGAGGAGACAGGGUGAGGGAGGAUCAGGAUCAGGGAGGAGAUACAAAGACAAAUAGAAAGUCAGGCUGGGUAGCAGUCACAUAUGGAAUGCAAGCGAUGAAAAGGCAAAGAGAAAAAGCACCAACUCGCCCAAAUUUCACCAUCCUCCAGUUUGUCCAGAUGUUGCCACACUUCAGCAUUAGCCUUACUGCAGAGCCUGGUUAAGACACUCCAGAACAGCCUCCAGGGUACAUUUCCAUGAAUGCACCCAAGGAUAUAGAGUAUGGAUAGGGAACUUGUGACCCUCCAGCUGCUGUUGUACUCCAAUGCCCUUUGGCUGUAGCCACCAUGGCCGAUGGGCGGGGAUGAUAGGAGUUGUAGUCCAACAAGAUCUAGAGGGUCACAGGCUCCCCAUCUCUGGUGUAGAGGAAGUAAUGCUUGGCUCAGCAUGACACACUGACAGUCACUGCUUCCUGUCCAUAAUCCAUAUGAAUGUUAUGGAUUGAAAAGAAAGGGAUAUCAUGUCCCAAGUGAAUCCCUGGGAAGUGGUGGCUAAAAAUACAUAACAAUGGGUCAAGUGGGUGGCUACUUUCAUGCAGCUUUCACUGUGGCAGCCUUUCUCAACCUGUGGGUCCUCAGAUGUUGUUGAACUACAACUCCCAUCACCCCUAGUUAGCAAGGCCAGAGCUCAGGGAUGAUGGGAGUUGUAGUCUAACAACAUCUGGGGACCCACAGGUUGAGAACCGCUGCUCUAUGGGAAAGCUCCAUAUGGAGAGUUUUAAAAUCAUAGAAGCAAAUGGAAAAGAAGAAGGAGGAGGUGCCUUAUACCAGGUCAGUUUAUUGUCAGCUCUGCCUGGCUGCUGCUUGCCAGCAUCUCAGACAGAAUAUUUCCCCCAUCACCUGGAAACGUUGGCCCCAGAAUUACACAGUACCCUCCCUAGUGUCACAUAGUCUCUCUUGUCUGGCCCACAUAGAUGAGGCUGCUCAUGGCUGGUUUGUAUUGCAGAAAUCAUAUGAAGGUGCCAUCAUGCAUUGGUUUGGAGAAGAUUGCAUGCUGCUGCAGACUACCCUAAACAGUAGUAGCAUGGGCAUCUAAAUGUGAUGUAACCAGGAUGUCAUCAGAUAAUGAUGGGCCGAGAACCAAUUCUUGCAAAAGAGUUGUGGUAAGUUGUCUUCCCACGUGCCAUUUUAUAAAUAAGCUCUAUGAGAGCUGCUGUAACGUGCUCCUGUAUCCCGCAUCCGGCUAGUUCUUGGGACUUGUUUACAUCCUGCAUCACACUUGUGAGCUAUUGUGUCCCCUAUUCAUCCAAAGGGAUAGCUUGCAUUUUCUUCCCCAGCUCCCCCCUUCUUUCUCAUGCCUACAUACACAGAGAAUAAAAACUGCUUUGAGAGAAAAUGUCAUACAACUUCAGUGUAUGAAAGGUCAUUACAUGAAUUACAAAUCAGCUUACGCUGAAUUUUCCACUUUUAAGUGCUGGCAAGGAAGAUCAUCUUCUUUCCUUUUCUUUCUUUGCACUCUAUUACGGUGGGUUUUUUGCCCAUUCUGCAAAGAAUGGGCAGCAGAUUCCUUCUUGGACUCAUAUGUAUGAGUACAUUUUUGUGCUUCUUAUGAAACCAGCACAAACUGGUAUAGGGGCAGGUACAUAUUUCAAUUUCUGUUUCUCAUUUUUCCAAUUUGAAGGUCAGUUCUCCACAUUUCCACACCAGCUUGCAAUUUCUUUUUUAAAAGUCCUCAUGAAAAUUCACCAG